rnacentral:lncRNA from 1 species
UUGGACCAUUAUUAUUGUAAAUCACUGUUGCCUUUUGAUGAGUUCCUUGGUCACAACUCAUGUUACGUUCCUCGAAAGGAAUCCACACAUGUCGACAUUGGGCAAACAGUGGAUGCCCAGCGACACAGCCACUACAUAUGUACUUUCAGAAACUUCUGUUCUCACUUAUCGCCUAGCUUUUCACCCCCAUUUAGAGGCAUCUUGCCUGCUAUAUAUCUCAGACAAGACUAAUACUAGCUACUGAUCAUGAUGUGUGACAUACUGUUUUUAUUUGAUGCCUGCUCACCAUUUCCAGGAUUCUUCUUCCUUUAUCAAGUUCGUUCUCUCUCUACUACAGCAAUUGGUAGUCGUACGUAGUUCCUAUUUCCAAAAAAAAAAAAGUUACCCCUAGAAACUUUACUUUUUAAUACUCUGUUACUUAUCAAAAAAAUUGUUUAACCCUAAAUAAAAUCUUUGUCUAUUCAUUCUUGCCAAAGAUGAUGUACAUGUCCUCUAGCAAAAGGAGCAAAUUACUCAAUUUUCUUCUUUUUCUCAAUAUAAGAAAGCGAUGUAUAUCAUGACCACCUAGAGCCUUAUUAAUUACAGUAGUAUCGAUCUGAUCAGCUACUAUGAAUUAUUAUACUCAAUUUAGCAUUUCGGUCAAUUUUAUCUACAAGUAUAUCAUAAACAUAUGCAAAUCGAUCGAUGAAUCAUGCAUGGUCAGGUGGACAGGCGGUACCGGCGAUACCGUGAGCAGAUGAGGGCAGUGGAGGUGUCGUUCGAGGCGGUGGCCGGAGCCGGCGCGUCGCAGGUGUACACAAGGUUGGCGCUGCGCGCCAUGUCGCGGCACUUCCGGUGCCUGCGGGACGCGCUGGUGGCGCAGGUCCGCGCGCUGAGGAAGGCCAUGGGGGAGCGGGACGGCGGACCUGGUGCGGCGGCGGCGGCGACGGCGGCGGGCGCCACCAAGGGCGACACGCCGAGGCUCAAGGUGCUGGACCAGUGCCUGCGGCAGCAGCGGGCGUUCCAGCACCCCGGCACCAUCGAGAACUACCCCUGGCGACCCCAGCGCGGCCUGCCGGAGCGCGCCGUCGCCGUCCUCCGUGCCUGGCUCUUCGAGCACUUCCUCCACCCGUACGUCGUCGUCGUCGUCGUCCCUCUCCCUCCCUUCAUUAUUUCAUCACUCUAGUUUAUUUCCAUGUCUUUACCAAUUCAUUCAGAUUAAUUUUGUUAACAACCAUGUGUGGUAAUUAAAUAAUUCGACCGGACUAUGAACUGAUGCAGGUAUCCAAAUGAUGUGGACAAGCACAUUCUGGCGCGCCAGACAGGAUUGUCAAGAAGCCAGGUAAUAAUAAUUCAUAGUAUUUGCUAAAUUUAUGCAUGAUCCAUCCAUGUGCCUUCCAAUUCCAUCAUCAGCAUAUAUGUACAGUUACUGGACAGCCACAUACUGUUUGUAACAGUUCGUCAGGUACAAGGUGAGCUAACCAGCAGACAAAUAUAUAAUAAUGUGUAAAUUCACACACUUUUCUUGUUAUGUACUACACCCAACCACCACCUGUAUCUGUCCCUAUUAUGAACGUGUGGACUAGAUUUCAGUUUUCUUUUCUUUCUUUCCACAUCUUUAAUUAAUACUUGAUGGAACCAUAGGCCUUGUUUAGUUCCCAAAAAUUUUGCAAAAUUUUCCAGAUUUCUCGUCACAUCGAAUCUUUAGACGUAUGCACGAAGUAUUAAAUAUAGAUGAAAAUAAAAAAUAAUUGCACAGUUUGGUCGGAAUUGACGAGACGAAUCUUUUGAGCCUAGUUAGUCCAUAAUUAGACAAUAUUUGUCAAAUACAAACGAAAGUGCUACUAUUUAUAUUUUGCAAAAAAAAUUUGGAAGUAAACAAGGCUAUAUGUGUCGCCAUUGUCUACUAAGGUUGCGUAGAGGAGAACAUAAUAAUCAGUGUCAGAAUCUAUAUGCUUUCAUAUGAAAAAUAAAUUACUCUCAAAUUUCUUUUCUAGGUUUCCAAUUGGUUCAUCAACGCCAGGGUGAGGUUGUGGAAGCCAAUGAUAGAGGAGAUGUACACGGAAGAAGUCAACCAGAAAUCAAACGCGACUCCGCAAAACCCUAGCGGCGGCGGCGUCAUCAAACCUGAGCAGAUGAGCACAACGGCGGUGCCCGCCGCCAUUGGAGGAGAUCAUAGCCACUUCCUAGCUACUAGUGCUGGGAACCCUAGCAGCUCCAUGAUUUCAUCCUCCAUUUUGAUGACUGCUGCUGACUGCGGUGGCAGUGGCGGUGGCGACCAUCUGUUCAGUAGUUAUCCGAGCAUGCAUAGGAGUCACGGCGGCGCCGUGUCGCUUACCCUAGGGCUCCAACAGCAGCCGUUUGUGUCGACGAUGAUGCACCACCAGCGACCAUUGAUGUUGCAUGGUGACGAGCAAGAGCCGGUGCUGCCGUACAGAGACCUUAUGGGGUCUCAGUUGCUGCAUGAUUUCGCAGGGUAGCUUAGCUAGGUCUACUAGGAGGGUGGGGUAAAAUCUGUUUUAAUUUCAUGACUACACUAUAAAAACACACAAAUUGGUUCCUAGCUUGCUACUAGCUUUCCGCCGGCCGGGCAAAUCAUGCAUAUACUGUAUAUUUAAUUUCUCGAGCAACCAUGUGCUUUAUUUGGAUCCUAUAUGUUUAGAGCUAGUUUAUUUAAUUUCAGUAGAAGUGCAGCUGCUCUACUUAUUCAAGUGAAGCACACCAAACGCCUGGUGCAUAUAGGAGAGUAUCAUUUUUCUGUCGUCAAUAAUUAAUUCAGCCGUUUAUUAUGUUUGGGAAAAGGUGUAUAUUUUUCGGAUGAGAAGUACUUAGUAAUUAGGAAUUAUUAUAUUUGGCGUUGUCUUUUGACACAAGAUUUAUUUAGGUAAUUCAUCUUACCAAACAGUUUGUAGUUUCAUUUGCAGAAAAGACAUUUUGUUAUUGAAUAUUUUUGUGAUUGUUUGAGUUGUGUAAAUGGUGAUCUGGAUAUGUUUUAUUCACUUCUAGUAAUAAGUUUUGUGUAGGGGGAGCAAAUGUCCCAAGAUUCAAGAUAUUGUGUAUCCAUGACAUCCACUUGUAUAUCCAAAGAGAAUAUCUAUAGUUACCUCAUGCUAGACUUUUAAAAUCUAGCCUAAGGAUGCCGCCUUUUUUUGGACUCGUGAGUUGUGACAGAGAUACAAAUAUAUUCAAAGAUUUGCGUGCAUGAGUUGUAGGAUUAUGACUUAUAGUCUAUUAGCUAGAAGCUUAAUGAAGUUUAAUAUAAGAAUUUAAGAGGAAAGUUAGCCUAAAUCUCCAAGUACCUCGAGGAUGUCUUUUUUUUGCUAAAGUAAUGUAUGAGCAAACUAAUACUUUGCCAACAAAUAUUCUGUUAUCAAAAGGCACCACAAAGCUUAUAGAAUUCCUCCGCUAUAUAGUUGUCGGAGCACUUCUUGAGAAAAACCACCAUUUAAGCCAUCAUGUUUUAUAGAACUUAUUAGAAGGAAGGUUCUCCAUACUCUUUCAAUUUCUUUGGUGAAAGAUUAAAAGGUAACUCUAAGAUAAUCAGUUUGAAUUAUAUAUAGGAUUAUAGGUGGCUUUGGUAAGCCAAACUUGAUUUUCUUAAACCGAGAGGUUCCAAGCCUUUCUAUAUAUAUGCUUCCAAUCCCAAAGGUUACUUGUGAUCUUGGUCCUACACCUUUUAUGGAUGUUGCUUCUUCUAUUGGCUAUAUUUUCAUACUUAUGAUAUGCAUGAAGUAUUUACUGCCUUCUGUUUUUCCGAUGAUAUGAAUGGCAAUAAACAAAUAAUAAGAGAGAUUGGAAGAUAAAAAUAAUUGAGAUCUAGUGUGACAUAAUUUGCUUCAAAGAAACCAAAAGAGCCUUUUGAUAAUCUAGACACCAUAUGGGUCAACUUGAUUUGGAAAGACACUACUCAAAUGGUAAGCUACUAUAUGUUUUCAUAAAAGCAUCAUUUUGGUAGUGUGACAUUCUAAAACUCUUGACCAAUUCAAAGGUAUAGCUUCAGUCAUAGUUUCAGAUGGAUCCACUUGUUUACUUUGGCAUGACCAUUGAAAUAGCAAAAUCCUAAAUCAAUGUUUCCCUGAGUUUUUUCUCUUUAGCAAAUAAGAAGAGGAUGACUCUACUCAAAGCCAAAGAGGCAGCUUCCUCACAAUACUUAUUCCACUUGCACUUCUCAAAUCUAAGCCCUUGAAUAGUCUCAAGGGUUUGACCAUUCACUUCUCAAUGUGCCUAACUCUUAUGAGGGUGAUCUUUGGUCGUAUACAGUAGCGGAUUCAACGUCCCAAGUGAUUCUACGUGAUAUCGCUCAUGACACCGCUUAUUUUUUUACCUUAUUGCAAAGUGCAGCGCAAUGCUCACGCCGAUGCCGGAGCCUAGGCAAGCGCCCGUGUCGCUAGACCCUGGGUCUGCCAGUGGUCAUAUAUAUGGGUCUCCUCUCUCUUCUCUUCGACAAAAGCUUGUAAAUCUCUAGUCAGGCAUACAAUGAUUCAUAAUGCUUUCAAAUGGUUAUGAAAAUCAUCAUGCCAAACACAAGCAUUUUUUUGUCUCUGGCUAUCUUGAGUGCUUCUCAAGUGCAAAGCUCUACCUUCAUAUAGUUGUGUUCUAUGCACUAAUGAUGAUGUUGAGGAGAGUGUAACACAUCUUUUAUUACAUUGCCCUUUCGCAAAGGAUUUGUAGUUAUCUCUAGACUGUAGGGAUGCAUACUUCAUCUUUAUUUGAUAAUUUUAGGAGCUUGCAAAUUUCAAAAUGCAGCUAGCGGUUCCUUUUUAUAUUGAAAUAACUAUUCUGAUGGGUUCAAUUUGAUUGUCCAUAAAUGAUGCUAUCUUCAAUCUAAUUCAACCACCACUAACCCAACGAACGAACUUACGUGUAGGUAUGAUCCUACCUGCUCUUCCACUAUAGGACUAGAAAUGGUGUCCUUUCGCCGAGGGAAAAAACCUCUUUGAAGGAGAAUCCACUUCUGAGCGCCAAAGGCGGGCAUCCGACGUCACCAAAAAGAAAGAGAAAGGCUUUUCCGUAAAUCCAAGAAACUUUGAAUAUAGGACAGCAUGAAAAGCUCCCUUAGGAGUACCCUCACGAAUGAAUGUGAAAGCUCGCUCGGAUUAGCAGGGGAUCUGCUAAAGAGACAUUAUAGAAUAGCACCCUUUGAUGAGAGAUAUGAGCAAGAGGCUUCAAGAAAAUUUGUGUUUUCAGAAUUAUAUGAAGCCAGUAAACAAACAAAAAAAUCAUGGGUAUUUGAACCCGAGUAUCUAGAAAAAAGCAGAAUAUUUGAUGGCUCCUUGUAGGUGAUGCAGAGUCAAGUAGCUGUUGCCAUUUCAUUUUCAUUUUCGUAUGAGUUGUUGUUGCCAUGCAUAUAAAAGAACAUUUCUUUCGUUUUAUGCACAACUGAAAACAUAAGAAAAAUACAACUUUACAGUCAAGUAGUUGACAGGAAUGAUGAUUCUGUGUGCUUGUGCGCACGUAAUUAACAGUGUAACACACACAUUACAAUAUAUUAAUUAAUGGUGAGUGUCCAACGCAAAGACCCAGAUGAAUCAACGCAAUUAGCACAACUAGUUAACUAAUUAAUUGAAAUUUUAUACGGUUGAUGGAAAGCCACUGGAAGAACUCUGCUUGCUCCUCUGUAUAUCAUAUACAAGCAGAACAAGUUGCUAGUAGUAAGUUACUCCUCUGUAUACUCCGUAUUCUGCAGCUUAUAUAGUAAUUAUUAUUAGUACAUAUAUAUAGUACGGAGUACUAGUUAACACAAUGACUAGUAGAUUGUAGUAAAUGGAUGGAAGAAGGACUGUCCAUUGGUCAUGAAGCGGUGGUUGAGCUCACCAGGCCUAGCCGUCUUCUGCCACAUCUGGUCCUGGAGCAUCUCGUCGGUGAGCCCGAACGCCCUGAGCUCGUCGGCGGUGUGGUGCACGAGGAGGCUGUACUGUACCUCCCUCCUUCUCCGGUCUGCAUGACGAGCGCGCCGCCGUUGGCGAGGUUGUCGAGUCCCUCGAACUGGCGGACGGUCCACUUGUAGCCCGGGGACGGCGGGGAGCUGCUGCAGGCGCCGGCGCGGGACGCCCAGCGUGUCCUCGCAGCACCGGCACCGCAGACGUCGCAGCAGCGCGGCCGCCGGCGGUGCCACCACCAGCGCUGCCGCCGCCGACGGCCGGCACUUGUUUAGGAGUUGAAGAGAGAAGCUAUAUAUAUAUCUUGUGCUUGCACGUAUAUAUCAUCAGUGUCGUCGAUGUGUAGCUAGUGUGCAAUGCCACGCUAGCUAGCUUUUGCAUUCUGAUGAUUAAUUGUGUGGCCAAGAGCUCAAGAGUAAUGAACACGACACGCGGGCUUUGCUCAGUCUCUGUCUUGCGUGCCUCCUCGUGUACUCGCACUAGCACUAGUCGGACUGGCGUGCGUCGUCGCCACAUGCACUGCCGUUAGCAGGCUUUUAGAAGCUUUUGCCGUACAGCCCAAUGGGCUGUGAAUGGGCCCCCGUACGGUUUUUCUUUCCCAGUGGCCCAUGUGCUUCCGAGUGCCACGACAACACAAAUUGAGCCCGUUCGACUUGGCCCAUGUACUCAUCAUCUGGUAAACACAUAAUUAUUUGACUCAGGCGUUCUUUAGUUCACCCUAAAAAAAUAUAAACUUUUUUAAGAUUCGAAUCUUGCGGCAUAAAUAUUAAAUAUAGAUAAAAAUAAAAAUUAAUUGCACAGUAAAUCGCGAGAUGAAUCUUUUAAGCCUAAUUACUUAUAGUGUUUGUCAAAUAAAAACGAAAUUGCUACCAUAGCGAAAACUAAAAAAAAUUGGAACUAAACAUUGAAAAUCCAGACCUUCUAUUUUUAGAUUAACGAGAGUCUAUCCAACUUUCUUUACCCUCUGCGAGCACUAUAUACAGCUCCAGAAUAGUUACAUAGUACAUAGAUACAUGCAAAGUACAAAGUAGCGAAUAGAUAGAUAUAGGUAGAUAUACUUCUUAUUUGCAGCGGCUAGAAUUAUUUCUUUUUCUAAAAAAAAUAUACUUCUUAAAACUCUGAAACCAAGUAUUUCUUUACUCUGCAGAUACUUUGUUUUAUCAAGAAGAUUAAUACAGUGCUUUUUUAUUUUCUGCAGUUCACAAAGAUAACAUAAAAUGGUUUUUGCACUGGAUGCAUGUUCAAGCCAAACCCAGGUAGUUUGAAGCUGCACAAUUAUCUGAACGUGCAUACCAGAUUACCAAUAUACCACAACCAACAUACAAAUUCAUCCAGGUAUAAAGUAAUAAUAACUAAAAAGCCAUCCCUAUUGGCUAUCUCCAUCCACUCCAACAGUAAAAUCUGACCCACAAAACAGUGAAAUCAGGAUACGCCCGUAUUGUAUGUUAUGUAUCAUCUCCACCCACCAACAGUGGAGAGGAAAGAACAAAAACAGAAAUUAGAAAAUAAAAAUAAUUAGAAAAGGAAAAUGAGCAGAGCCACAUCUCUUGGCAACUUGCUCUAUCUACUCUACGUGAUAAGUAGUCUUUCUAUUUAACUUUUCCCUAAUUACCAAGUUAAACUUGUCUAUCACCAUCUUUCCUCUUUUUGGGGGGGCUUUUCCCAGAGCAGUAUACUUUGACACGGAUCCCCCUGAGGUUUUUCCAAAAUAACAACAAACCAGAGAGACCCACCUGGCCUGGUCAAGCGGGUCGAGCGGUUGUUUUGCACAAAGGCUCAGCAGGAAGGAGGUAAUUCGGAUCCCCUACGAUGGCGGCAGCGGGAGGGGCAGGGGCAGGGGGAGCAGCAGCGGCGGCGGGAGGAGCUGGGUCCGGCAGAGCGGGCAGGUGCGGUGGCCGUGCGCGGCCCAGCGGUCGAGGCAGGCGCGGUGGAAGACGUGGCGGCAGCCCCGGGCGCGGCGCACCUCGGCGGCGGCGUGGAAGUCGCCCAGGCAGACGCAGCACCCCUCGGGGAGCGGCCGCGGCACCUCGCCGGCAGUUGCGGAGGAGGAACCGCCAGACGACAGCGAGUCGAAGCGCACCGCCGGAGAGUGCUCCUCCAGGCGCUGGGCGGCGGCGGGGUGGCGCGGGUGGUGGUCCGCGUCGGAUGCCGACGCCCAGCUGUCGGCGUCGGCGGAGGCGCCCGCUAGGCGGAGCAGCCAGGAGGAGAGGCGGCGCAGGUGGCCCAGGAGGAAGAGCAGGUGCAGCACCAGCUUGGGCAUCUCCGAGUAGCCCAUGGGGAAUCCCAUCAGCAUCGCGACGGGGCAGGUCCAAUGGAGAGCUUCUUGGCUGCACUGCACACUAGUAUCAGCUGUUGGUUUUGGAUGGAGGAAGGAGAUGGCGUCUGUCUGUGUGACUGCAGCAGUGCACCAGCGAGUAUGGAUGGAUGGCGGGGCAGGGCUUUAUAAAAAGCAAGCAAGCACAAGCAGGGAAGGAGACGAGCAGAGCAGAGCAGAGCAGUGAAGAGGCGGGCGAACAAACACUGACAGCGAGCAAACAGCUCAUUAAAAAAGUGAUGGGAGGCGCAGGACGGUGACAGAGAUCUACUAGUAUUAUUUUAUUAUUUUUUAUUUUAACGCACUUACUCCUGCAGUAAUACACGUACGUACGUCCCUGCAGACGGCAGUGCAUACUGUAUACAGUAGUAGUAUAAAACAGGACAUACUGUUUUUUUUUUUGUUACAACAGGAUUCAUAGUAUCCGUACGGAUCAGAUGUUCGCACAAUCAGGCCUUGUUUAGUUCAUAAAAAAAAACCAAAAACUUUUCAAAAUUUUCCAUCACAUCGAAUUUUGUGGCACAUGUAUGGAUCAUUAAAUAUAGAUAAAAAUAAAAAAUAAUUACAUAAUUUGCCUGUAAAUUAGUAGACGGAUUUUUUAAAUUUAUUUACUCUAUGAUUGAAUAAUAUUUAUUAAAUAAAAACAAAAGUGCUACAAUAUCAAAAUCCAAAAACUUUUUAAUCUAAACAAGGCUUAGUUGUGUCCUUCGACUUGUCACGUGCACGCAUUUCCAUCUAAAGUCCUACUCUCAAAUUACACCACAAACACUCUAAACUUAAUCAUUACUCUAUCCUGCCAUAAAAGAAUGCAAUUCUCAUAUUUUGAAGUCAAAUUGUUUCAACUUUGACUAAAAUUAUAAAAAAAUAAGUAUCAUUAGAUUAGUUAUAAAAAUAUAUUUUUAUAAUAAAUUUAUUUCGAGACAUAAAUGUUAAUACUAUUUACUAUAAACUCGAUCAAAGUUGGGUUACGUUGAGUGGCACGUUUCCCAUAAUUACAUUCUUUUCUGGACAAAGGGAGUAUAUUAUAUCAAAUCUAGCAUUUGUGUUAAAUCUAAGAGUACAUUUUGUUAGCAGUCCUCAAACUUAUCCAACGUUCUUAUUUAGGUUUCAGUAUUUGCAAAAUAUAUUUUUACUAAACUUACUAAUUGUAUCGUAUUAGGUCUAAAGUCUUCGAAACUUGUGUUAAACCGCUUUUGUGUGGUACACUGACCGUACAAUGAUGUCGCUCUCAUAUUUGGUGUGGUUGUCAUUUGUCAACGCCAUCUCCUUCUAACCUUCUCCUUCCCUUCUCUCUCUAGCCUUCUUCUUCGUUUCAGUGAGCUAGCCAUGCAUAUUAUGAAGUGACAGUGGAUCUUUGGAACGAGCGAUGAUAAUGAGACAAUCACCACUGGUACAAGCAUACCUUAGUUGUGCCAAACCUUAAUGUGACAAGGAGCCUUCAACGGUGGGGAAGCAAAUAAGAGAGAAAAUGAGACGACAUUUACCUCACACAUUAGCGGUAACGUCAUCAUAUAGUUAGCAUGUCAUGUAGAUAGUUUAGUAUAGGUGAAUCCCAAACUAUAAUAGAAAUGUUCCAUCAUUGGACACGUGGGCCUUCUUUCCACUCAUUCCUUCUUUACCCCAUGUUCAACAUCUUUAUCGAGGCUAGAGGAGGCGGGUUAUAAGGCUACGAGUUUGUAAGUUAAGAUCUAGAGCGUCCUUUGCCAAAUGCUACCAGAUGCAAAUAGCAGAGCAUCGAUCUAGCUUCAGACGCUUUCUCCACCGUUCAUAUGGUCAUACCACACUCAAUAGUGGUGCAUUUGCUCUAAGAACUCUAUACCCUCAUCUUCACCUCUCAUCUCAGCUGAUCAAGGCAUGCUCAUCACCACCUUUAGGUAUGAGAGGGACCUCCAAAGUUCAUAAACCUAGAUCAUAAUAUCCCUUAGCACAUAAGAGGAGUGUGCAUGUGUGUGUCUUAUAUUAUAUAUGUAUUCAUUCAUCGUAAUCUUGGAGUCACUACUGUUAUAAUAUGAUACCCUUAUUUAUGCACAAUAGUUCUCGGAUCUUUGAAAGGAUAUUGCAAAUAUGACACAACCUUGUACCGUAUCAAGAACGAUGUAGUUCAAUAGCACAAGUAACGAGGGACAAGAGAUUAAGAUUUUGGUAAAGUCAACGACCACCAAUUCUAUAAGCACAAUUCCAAACGAUUGCAAAGUGAUUGUGUAGCACUCGCAACCCUACUUGACCCUCUUGGGCCUACUAAUUCUUGCCCUUAAAAAAAAUUAGUGCAGUAGAACUCUAGCCUAAUCCUUUUGAACGCUCGUGAUUGAUUCUACAAGUCCUGGAUGAGAUACUUUUGUUGGCUUGGCUGAUGCAUAUGUCCUCUACCCCUUGUUUAUAUAGUCAUUUCCAAGGUUUACAUACAUGCAAGUAGCAGUCCUACUCCUAGUACAAUUCUAUACUUAAAUCCUAGAAGUUCUGAUAGUACAUCUCUAUUGAGGAGUUGUUUGGUUGCCAAUCGAUGUGUGCCAUGCCACACAUGUGGCCGCUACCAAGAGCGAGCUAGGAUGUUGUUUGGUUCCUACCGACGUGAGCCACGCCAUAGACUAUGGUUGCCACCGCUUCGGUGGCUCCUGCUUGGUUCUUGUGAAAGUUGUGGCUGCUAAUGCUACUCCCUACACAAAACCACGCCAGAGCUGUGGCGCCAAAAGUCAUCGCCUAAGGUUCGGUGUUGUCAUCGUUGCAGAGUGGAGAGCCACAGUCAAAAAGGAAAAAGCUACGGUAGCGCCACACAUGCAGUGGUAGGCUAUGGCGGCCAACCAAACAUCCUCUAAGUUCUGCUACAAAUAGAAUUUGAGCCACCAUACGACAACCACGGUAAAGCUACGAUGCUGAUCAGGGAAAUGUAAAAAUUCUUGUUGACCACACUAAACAAAUCCUAGUAAACAAAAUGACAUGACAAGUAUAUAUCCCUUAAAAACUUAUGAGAUACAUUACACCGCAAACACAAGUUGAUAACUACAUCGAUCCAUCCUAAAAAGAAUUGAAUUCUCUCUCUCUCUCUCUCCUUAGUCAAAUCAUCUAAAUUUUAUCCAAAUACUUAUAACGGGUAUUCCUAUCAAAAUAUAUUCAACGAAAGCUUUAACUAUAUUGAUAUUGUAUUGAUAUUGUAAGUAUUACUAUUUUUCUGUAUACACUUGAUCACAUUCGCAGUUAUGUUUUGACUUGCUACUGCGCUAGAAUUAUUUGUGUUUUUCUUUUUCUGACGAAGGGCGCGUCUCCUGGUCAGAUGGCUGUCUCUAUCGAAGGCCCUGUUUAGUUCGCCACACAAAAUUUUUUCAUCCAUUCCAUCGAAUCUUUAGACACAUACAUGGAACAUUAAAUGUAGAUAAAAAAAUAAACUAAUUACACAGUUUAGUUAAUAAUCGCGAGACGAAUCUUUUAAGCCUAGUUACUCUAUGAUUAGCCUUAAGUGCUACAGUAACCCACAUAUGCUAAUGACAGAUUAAUUAUGCUUAAUAAAUUUGUCUUGCAGUUUCCUGACGAGCUAUGUAAUUUGUUUUUUUAUUAAUUUCUAAAAACUCCUCCCGACAUCCUUUCGACAUAUCCGAUGUGACACAAAAAAAAUUUUCGUUCCCAAUCUAAACAGGCCCGAAGUAUCGAGGACGCUGUGCCUGUGCAGAUCGAAUCCUAGCAGCGAGACCAUCAUCGUCGUAGAACACAGGGAUAGCUUAGCUCUCACUCAUCACUCUCACAGGCUUCCCUCUCAGCGGCAGUACUGCCUGUGCCUGCCGAGCAAGGCAGGGCAGGUGCGCUUGUCUGCCUGCUCCUCCAAUGGCGCCAUCCAUCCCCAUCACUGUUCUGUUCAUCUCCUCCUCCUUUGCCUUCCUGCUGCUGCUUUCAGGCAGAAAUCGGAUCCAUGUGUGAUGUCUUCCUGACUGUCCACUGUCAGUGUGGACGGGAUUAGCUGCCGCGUCGCUGCCCGGGAGCCCCGCCUUGUCUCCCAUGAUCGAGAGAGCUUGCUUGCACUUGCAAGAUAAAUAGUAUAUAUAUGGUCAAGCAACCAUUCAAGUAUAUAUCACCCGCCAUCUUAUUUGUUAAUUUCUUCUUCACAUAAUUGUAUUGAGAAAUAAAAGACCCUCUCAACACUACCAGUCGCUACUGGAAAUGCUAGCAUUAAUUUGAGAAAAAUAUAAUAGAAAGCUCAUCAAUCAAGACCUUUAAUUUAUUUUUUUUUCUAAACCUUUCAUAUCUCUACGCAAGUAAGGAAGAGUUUAAGUUGUGAAGAAAUAAUUAGAGCAUCUCCAACAAGUUGGUAAAAAUUACUUAUCAAAUCUUGAGUUUUAGCAAGUUGCUAUUUCAUUUGGCAAGUCAAAAAAGAUCUCUCUCCAACAAUUUGCUAUUACAACUUGUUAAAAAUAGAGGGUACUAGAUGGGACCCACCUGUCAGUGCGGUAAGCCCCUCGCCCCCUCCGCCACCCCCUUCCGCCCUACCUCCUGCGGCAGAUCCAAAUCCAUGAGGUGGGAUGAGAUCUGCUCCGACGACGAGGCUGACGACCUUGGGCCGCAGCGCCGGCUCGCCGAUGCCGACCGCCGGGCCUCCCUCCACGACUCGCCAGGGUCUCCCCCCCGCCAGAUGGGGGGGACCCGCGGCGCCGACGCGCGCUCCUGAGGCGUGCGCUCCGGGGGGCUCCUACCUCGCCGCCGCCCGUCGAGCCGCCGACAAGGAGCCGCUGACGCAGGUCUCCAGCGAGCCGCCGAAGAGCGCCCCCCACCACAGAUCCGGGUCCUCGGCGCCCUCUUCGACACCUGGCUCCGCCGCGGCGCAGCCCCGGAGACGAACCGCCGCGGACGCCGAGGGGACAUAGGCGCCGCCAGGAAAAAGCAACCCCAGGCCCAAGCGUCGCAGACGGCGUAGGCGACGGAGAAGGCCGACGAACGCCAACGCGCCAACGGGGACGGCGGCCGGAAGACUGCCGGGGCCAGGGCGGAUCCCCGUCCACCAGCGCCUGGGGCCUCGCCGCCGGGCAACGGCGCCUGACCAGGAAGGUUGGCAGCACGUGUUGCCGCAGCGACCCGCCCGGGCAGCGCGAGCGAACGGGGCGACGUACAGGGGGAAGAACGCAUCGCAACGCCGGCGGGGGCCGAGCAGAGAGCGUGUCCUCCCCAGGGAGGUCGAGGACCGCUGUCUCAACUGCCUCUCGGCGGCGCACCGCGUCGCGACAUGCCGGCGCCCCACACGCUGCUUCAACUGCCACGACGCCAACCACGUCGCCAAGGACUGCAAGAGGCCGCGGUCAUCCGGCGGCACGGGGGCGCCAGCCAGGAACGACGGCCGGUUCGUCCGCCAACGGCGUGGCCAAAGCCCCGGGACACCGCCUGGCGCGAGCGGGCCCACCCCUCCGCCGCCUUCGCCGGGAACACCUGAAGGAGCAAGCGGGAGGAUGCCGUCCCCGCCGCCGCCGACGUCAGACAUCGACGGGGACAACGUCACGGGACCUCCAGGGGCACCUGAUUCGCGCCCGCGGGAGUGCUGGCGCUACAUCUCGCGAGAUGCGGCGAUCUCCAACACGGAGACGAGUCUGCGCUUCUCCGUGGUCGCCCAAACCCGCUGCGGCUCCUUCGACAUUCCAGCGGAGGACGCCAGGGCGGCCAUCGCUGCCGCGGCCGGGGUCAGGCCGGAGGACCUCCUGCUACGUCACUUCUACCCGGAGAACUUCAUCAUCCUCUGCGGCUCCCAGGAGAUCAAGGACCAGGUUCUCGUCGUGUCCCCUUUGCCGAUCGGCUCCACUGCCCUUGUGCUGCGCCCGUGGACCAAGCUCCGCCAUGCCGAGGCGUCCACGCUGCGCUACCGGGUCAACAUCGUCCUCGAAGGCAUUCCUCCCCAUGCGUGGCGGGAAGACACCGCGGCGAAGAUCCUCACGCCCUCCUGCUGGAUCCAGGAGAUCGACAACACCACGCGGACCGCCGACGACCUAUCCACCUUCAAGGUAACCGCUUGGACUGCUCACCCGUCUUACAUCCCUCUGCUUUGCUGGCCGGGCAUAUCCGAGGACGAGCCACCUUGUCACCUCUACGCCGGAGGACCAGCCCUGCCGCCCUACCUUAGGGAGAAGAAGACGCUGGCCUACAAGGUCCUCAUCCACAUCAGGAGCGUCGCAGACUUCAACCCGCGGUCUCCGUCGCCGAGACCGGGGGGGUCUCCGCCCUCGGACGCGGACAGCAGCGGCCUCGACGACCCCGACGACGGCUACCACUUCUCCAGGGGAAGCGGGCCAAGGAUUCAUGCCUUCGCCUGCGACCGCGGCAUCCCGGACGGCGACGCCGACUACGGCAGCCGAAGGCACGGUGGGCGCGGGUCCGCGCAAGGGCCUGUCUGUCUCCAAGACCGCGGCAUCCCAGACGGCGACGCUGACUACGACAGCCAAAGGCACGGUGGGUGCGGGUCCGCGCAUGGGCCCGCCUGUCUCCAGGCUCAGGCAGCGCGGGCGUGCGCAAGCGCGGGACCUGCCGGACCUGCGCGCCGUGGCCCUCCAUCCUAGCAGGCAACGGCGGCGCGCCACCGGAACGCAAGCGCAGCUCCCGGCCCACGAACAACAGCGGCCGCGCGCCAGAACAAGAAUCCCACACGCCAGGUCUGGAGACCGAUCCGGCCGGAGACCAAACCGCAGUAGCAGCGCAGCAUUAGACCUGUUGGGGUACGGUUGCCCGCCCAAGCCGGCGAUACGGCCCCGCGUCACGAGAGCUUGGCGGAGCUCGCUCCCGCCACGGGAAGUGCGCAGGAGGAUGACCCAGCGCACACCAAGAACGACGCCGUGGACCCCCCGACGGCUGACACACAACGUCCCGACCACAGCGCCACCUCCUAUACGCCUGAAAGUGGGAUCGAGGCCACUGCUAGGGGACGCAAGACAUAAACGCCGACUGGGCCAUCGCCCUCGAGGGUCCGCUUCCCUCCGUGGUCGCCGUCAGCCAGAGCCAAGAGGCACCCGCAAGGGGAUCCCCCGCUCAAGCAGCGCCCGCAGUUCAUGGCGGACAGGAGUCCACCCCAGCACGAGGAGCAACGCCCGCGGUUCACAGCGGACAAGAGUCCACCCCAGCAUGCACCCCCAGCACGAGGUUUGCGCGACUUCAACCCCCCGGGCCAUUCCCUAAAGGGCUCAUCGAAGCUGGAGGAACACCCGGAGCAGCCAACCCCGCCAGCGAACUUCGGCAGCAAUGACGCUGCUGCCAGCACCACACCAGCUAAGGCCAGCACUGGCCACAGCACUCCAGGGCGCAUCCACGGCUUAGAUGGUGAUGCCAGUGACCAGCGCACGGGCUCCCUCAGCGGCCGGUUGAAGCAGUUCGCAAAGAAGGUACUCAAGAAGGCCACAACUCCUCUGCUGCCUACCAAAGUCUUCGACUCCUCCUCCAAAAUGCCACUACGAAGCAGCAGGAUCGCGGCUCAGCCCCUUUCCAAGGUGCCCGUGGCCAAAAGAGGGGAUAUCCUCGUCAUGCAGCGGCUGGGCCUCGCACCUGCAGCAGGAAUCGCGGAGGCGCAGCAGAAACUGGACGCCAUGUUCCUAGGAAGCGAUGGAGGGACACAUGCGGAAGCAAUGCGAGAGCUCUUCCCCGACGGUGAACGUCCCCGGCGUUCCACGAGGCAACACGCCACGUAGGGCUGACCUGCAAAGCUCCGGUAGCAGCUUGUAAUGGAUAACAAUACAAUCCUAUGCUGGAAUGCGCGCGGACUGAACGGACGCGCCCGGCGUGACUCCGUCCGCACGUUGGUGCAGACCGAGAAGCCGCAGAUCGCAUGCAUUGUAGAAACAAAGCUGAAUGAUGUACCUCAAAUGCUUAUCUUUUCGCUGUUUGGAAUGAACUUCGUUGACUACACGUUUGUGCCGGCCGUCGGGUCCUGCGGCAGAAUUUUAAUCGCGGCGCGGCAGCCGGACAUCCACCUCACCGAUGUACACAUAGGCUGCUUCUCCGCUACUGUCAGGGUGCACACAGGUACCGUCGGCGAGCGAGAGCCAUGGUGGCUCACAGUAGUCUACGGAUCGCAGGAAGACAGCGACAAGGUCCUCUUCUUGGAAGAGCUAUCAGCCGUCAGAGACGCAUGCUCCGGCCCUUGGGCUAUAUCGGUGACUUCAACCUCAUCCUCGACGAGGCAGACAAAAACAACGACGCAAUCAAUAGGCGCAAUCUAUGACGCUUCAGACAGGCGGUGACCGAGCUAGAGCUCAUCGACCUGCACCUCCACGGCCGACGCUAUACAUGGAGCAACGAGCGCCGAUCGCCCACCUUGGUGCGGCUGGAUCGAGCCUUAGUUUCGCUUCAAUGGGAGGCCUUGCAUCCGGACUGCCACCUUCUGGCACUCUCCUCGGACGCCUCGGACCACUGCCCCCUCCUCCUUCAAACAAACCUAUAUUCUCACCACAUGCGGCGCUUCCACUUCGAAAGCUUCUGGCCCAAGACAGCCGGCUUCCAGGAGGCGCUUAUACAAGGAUGGGUCAGCACUUCAGGAUCCUCGGACCCGCUUCGCCAGCUCGACGAGCGGUUCAGGAACCUGACACGCGAACUCCAGAGGUGGGCCGCGCACAGGAUCGACAACAUCAGGGAACAGCUGCUGAUGGCUCGAGCCAUCAUCCUCCGGCUAGACAGAGCGGCCGACCUCAGGCAACUCUCGGACAGCGAGCACCAGCUGCGAAAAGACCUCAAGCUAAAGACCCUAGGCCUGGCUUCCCUUGAACGAACCAUGGCACGUCAAAAGGCGAGGGUGCGCUUCCUAGCCGACGGGGAUGCCAACACAAAAUACUUCCACCUGCUUGCCCGAGGGCGAAAGCGCAGGAACGCGAUCACCCGCCUACGAGACGACAACAACACGAUCUACACAUCACACGAGCAAUUGGAAACCAUGAUCUAUGACCACUUCAAGGGAGUGUUUGGCCAGCCCGGGUCGGGAUCCCACACGCUUGACUUCCAAGCACUCGGGAUAACCCCCGUCGACCUAUCCGCGUUAGACCUUCCGUUCUCUGAGGAGGAGGUCGAGACGGCCGUCAGGGGGAUGCCUCCAGACCACGCGCCAGGGCCGGACGGUUACACGGGGACGUUCUACAAAGCCGCCUGGCCGGUUAUAAAGCCGGACAUCAUGGCCGCCCUGAAUGCGCUGUUCUUCGGAGACUCCAGAGCCUUCGGCCGUCUGAACAACGCCUACGUCACGCUGCUGCCCAAGAAGCUGGGCGCCAGCACACCAGGCGACUUUAGGCCAAUCACAAUGAUACAUAGCUUCGGAAAGCUAGCCUCCAAGCUGCUGGCAUUGAGACUUGCACCAAAACUCCAAGACAUCAUCUCCAAGAACCAAAACGCUUUCAUUCGCGGGAGGACAAUACACGACAACUUCAAGUUCGUCCAGCGGGCUGCUGUGCUCAUGAGGAAAAGCAGAACGCCUAUGACGCUCCUAAAGCUCGACAUCAGCAAGGCGUUCGACACGGUAGCCUGGCCCUUCCUGCUCAACACCUUGCAUGCGUUCGGCUUCGGCACCUCCUGGCGCAGAUGGGUGACUGUGUUGCUGGCUACGGCUACAUCUCGCAUCCUGCUAAACGGAAGGCCCGGGCCACCAAUCAGGCACAAGAGAGGAGUGCGACAGGGGGACUCGUUGUCCCUCAUGCUCUUCAUCAUUGCCAUGGAGGUGUUCGCCCGCCUCAUCUCCACGGCAGCAGAUGACGGCCUGCUUCAGCCGACGCAGCCACCCUCCCUACGACACCACUGCAGCCUAUACGCAGACGACGUAAUCAUAUUCAUGCAACCAAGUGCCAGAGACGCCAGAGCCGUCAAGGAAAUUCUCUGCAUUUUCGCCGAGGUAUCCGACCUCAAGACGAACCUAGCCAAAUGCUCGAUCACGUCGAUCUACACACCAGACGACAACCUACCUCAUCUCCAGCAGAUUCUAGGAUUCCAGAUCACCGAAUUCCCUAUUACAUACCUCGGCCUGCCCUUGAGCACAAGGAGGAUACCGAAGGCGAGGAUCCAGUCCACCAUCGAGGCCAUCGGAAGACGACUCCCAGGUUGCUACGGACCACUCAUGGCCAGAAGCGGGCGGCUCAUCUGGAUCAAAUCGGUCCUCUCCGCCAUCCCCAUCUAUACACUCAUUGAGGACGGCCUUCCACCGUGGGCGAUAGAAGAGAUUAACGCAAUCUGCCGUAGAUUCCUAUGGACCGGAAAAGAGGGCUCCGUCCGGGGGAAAUGCAUGGUGGCUUGGCAGACUGUCUGCCGCCUGACAGAACUCGGAGGACUAGGCAUUCCGGAUCUACACCUCACUGCCAUCGCCCUACAAACCAGGUGGCUAUGGCUACAGCGAGUCGACGAGAACAGGGCCUGGGCGAACCUGCCCAUCGCUCCGUCCAAGGAAGUGCAGGCGUUCUUCGACGCAUCCACAUACACGAUACUCGAGAACGGCCGAUCUACGGCAUUCUGGACGGGGAGAUGGAUCCAAGGCAAGGCGGUCAAGGAUUUAGCGCCUUCACUUCUGGAGUUCGUCAGCCAAAGAGACAUCAAGACGACGACCGUCGCCGAAGGAUUAGCCGGACGAGCUUGGGUACGUCAGAUAUCCGGAGGGAUCACUACCCCGGCCAUCCUAGACUAUCUCAGGCUGUGGGACCUAGUGUCCCAAACCCAGCUAAGUGAUAGCGAUUACAGAUUGAUCUGGCGUUGGACAGCGGACGGCAAGUACACCCCCAAGUCCGCGUACCAGGCGCUGCUCACAGCUUCCCACCCGAUCCCAGGAUGUUCCAGGAUAUGGGCGACAUGGGCACCCUUGCGGGUAAAAAUUUUUCUAUGGCUGGCCAUCCGGGGACGUCACUGGACCGCGGACAGAAGGAGGAGACACGGGCUGCCCGCAGAUGAUCACUGCUACCUUUGCGACCAAGACCCCGAAACCAUCGAUAACAUCAUCGCCUCGUGCUCGUACUCGCGCCAAGUCUAGUGGACUAUGUUAGCCGUCCUCGGAGUAGACGCAUCCCAGGUGGGCAGCACGUCCCUGCUAGCUUGGUGGGACCAAUGGCGGAGACGAUGGCACGGAGACAAGCAAAAAGGAGCCGACACUCUCUUCGCCUUGGCCGCGUGGGAAAUUUGGAAGGAACGGAACGCGCGUUGCUUCCGAAGUGCUUCCUCCACCUGCAGCCAGCUCCUGUCCACUAUCAAGCACACCGCCGAUCUGUGGAUCGAAGCCGGAGCAAAGAACUUGGGUUGUCUAAUCAUGGUGUAAUAGGCCAUACAGAAAAAGGGGGGGCAAGCUAAGACCUAUGUAAAUCCUUGGGUAUCAGGCCACCUCGCGCCCGACACGGUUGUAAAAACUUUGCUUCUACUUAAUACAAAAGAUACGCAAGCCUUUUGCGUAUUCGAGAAAAACGAAGAAGCCCAUCACCAGCUGCGUCUAUCGAAAUCAUCUUCUUUCCUCUCCGGCGGCAUCACGAGCCCAAAUCCGCUCAACGACGGCGAGCGGCACAGAGACACGCACGCACACACGACAUCACGCAGGCAGGGACACGCACGCACGCACGACAUCACCGAGUGCUCUUUUUUUUGCGAGGACAUCACUGGGUGCUCCUGAUGAGAUCACGGGACGAAGUACAUGGGGUUGGGCACCUUGAAGACGCGGUCCCCGGCGCAGUCGCCCUGCAGGUUGCUCCACUGGUCGCCCACGUUGCUGCGGAUCCGACGCCCCUGGCGAGCUCGUCGCACAGCUUCUCCAGGCGCUCAAGCUCCGGCGUGGCGCUCGCAGCGACGCCUCCGCUCCGGCCAGCGCCGCGCUGCCGCGCGCGUGGGCUCCUCGGCGCCGCUUCUCCAGGCGCUCAAGCUCCGGCGUGGCGCCCGCAGCGACGCCUCCGCGUCCGCCAGCGCCUCCGCUCCGGCCAGCGCCGCGCUGCCGCGCGCGGGCUCCUCCCCGGCCUCCGCUUCUCCGGGCGCUCAAGCUCCGGCGUAGCGCCCGCAGCGACGCCUCCGCGUCCGCCAGCUCUUCCCCGCGCGACGCGGCUCUGCACCUGCCCGGCGCGACGCUGCGGCCGCGGGGCCGACGCCCGACUGGCGGUGGCCGCCCCUUCUCUCUGUUUCGUCGCAGGUGCGGUCACGCGUGGGGGAAAACGCCGAUAGCAAGUUGCUCCGCGCGCGGAAGAAUGCGCGCGCGAGGCCUGAUUUGGCAAAUUGGGAAAAAUAGCAAGUUAGUUUAAGGAGUUGUUGGAGAGGAGAUUUUGUGAUUUUGCCAAAUUUAUAAGGAUAGCAAGUUAUUUUAAAGAGUUGUUAGAGAUGCUCCCAGGUUUCAUCUCUAAUCUAAACUGAACAAACUUGACCAGUUUGCCUUCGAUCUCUUCACCGUCCUGCCCGUCAUGGUCAUGCCGAACGCUGGGUCGCCAGCCACUCGCCUCGUGUAGUUAUCAUACGGGAUCUAGGGUAGAUUUUUAGUGAUUUUAUUUUUGGACAAAAUAUUUUAGGGGAACAGUAGAAUGGAGGACCUCAUGUGUGAUGGAGUUAAUUUUUGGCAUUUCGCUUGCCCUUGCAAUCUUGUCUAGGGAUAGAUAUAUUGACGUCUCGAUACAAUGCAACUAUAUACCUAUGUGUAUACUUGACACAUGUAUUUGAUUUUUUUUUUUGAAAAAAAAUGUUGACCGUCCUUGGAAGAGAGACUUGCAAUGAGCAUGUCUCGAUCAAUACUUGUUGAAUAAGCAGGGACGACGAAGAGGGUGUGUAGGGCAUGUACAGUUCUAAAAAAGGUAGGAAGAAGUGCAGGGCAUGUACAGUUUUCUAAAAAGGUAGGAGGAAAGGUAGGGCAUGCACAGUUUUAAAAAAGGUCAUAGCAGACUAAUAUACUCCUUCCAUACCUCAAUUAGAUGACAUUUUGGGCACCCAUGCUAUUUUCUUAAAGGAUGACGUUCUGAACCAGAUACAACUAAACUUGACGCGAAUACCCGACACGACUAAACUUGACGCGAAUACCCCUCACGAAUGCGUCCGUUGCCGCCCGUCUCUUCCUCUGCCGCCGCAUUCAAGGCGCGCGUCUCGGUCCCCGCUCCCAACAGACGCACGCCACAAGGCAGCAAAAUGACGGCCAAGAGAAAAAAGCUCCUGCCCUCACCCACGCAUGCCUUGAAACCAGUCCCUCUAACCAAUAGAGAAGAGAAUCUUUAAUGUCUAGGGAACACCUUCGGCUACAUUUAAUAAGAGCAAAACUGGAAAAUUAGCCCCUAAUUAAUGACUCCUUGGUAAGCACAAUCAUGUCCUAAACGUCAUCUAAUCCUGGUAUGGAGGGAGUAAUUAUAUAUAUUAUAUGUUUAAAAUAAUAAAAAUAUAUAUUUGGUCAGAAAAAAUAUAAGUCUUAACCAACAAUUAAACGGAACUUAGAACAUAAAACUUGUGUCAAUAGACUUGUGUUGAAAGGACCUUUGAGUUCAUUUUUAACAUUUUAGAAAUUGACUACAUAUACUACUGUCAUGAUCCAUGGAUAUGGGGUACUCCCUUUGUCCCAAAAAAAAAAUUGACCUUAUAACUUUCAGACUUUAUCCCAAAAUAUUUGAUCUUAUAGUAUCUCAGUAUACUACAUUUCUCUUUUCCAAUACACCUUUCUCCUUUUUCAAUAUAUUUAUAUCCUCAUCAUUCUCUAUCUUUUUUUUUGUUUUCUGUGCACACCACACCUUAUUUCUUCUAAAAAGUUCUGAUACCCAAGUCCAUAAGAUCAAGUAUUUUAGGAUGGAAUGAGUAUAUGUGUCGAUCAAUAUGUGUUGAAUAAGCAAGGAGGAAGGGUGGUAGGGCAUGUACAAAUCUAAAAAGGUAGGAGGAUGGGCAGGACAUGUACAGUUUAAAAAGGUAGGGGGAAAGGUAGGGCAUGCAUAGUUUUUUUAUAUAAAAAACAUAGAUUAUAUAUAUGUUUAAAAAUAAGAUGAUCAGAAAAAAAACCUUAACUUACACUUAUAUGUAAACUUAGAACAUAAAACUUGUGUCAAUAUACUUGGGUUGAAAGGGGCUUUGAGUUCAUAUUAGUAUUUUAGAAACUAACUAUUAUACUCCCUCCGUCCUGAAAUAGAGUAUAUUAUGAUUUCUAAAAUUUAUAUUGAAAUACAAUACAUUCUCCAUAAUGACUAUGUUUCAAUUUAAUAAAGUUUGUUUAAAAAAACCAUGAUUUGAUGAGAAAACUUUAUAAUUAAAAUAAUCUACGAGUACAUGUAUCAUUUAAGUGUUCUCUUAAGUUGCCUUAAAAUUUAUAAAAUACACUGUAUUAUAACUUUAUAAGACAAAAGGAGUAUAUUAUAAGAGAAAUUGCAGAGUUAAAAUUUAUUGCCUUUUUAAACAGUGAAGAAACAAGAAAUCAACACAGCAAACUGAAAAGGCAUAUCAUUGUUCAAAAUAAAAGCUAAUCAAACCUGGGCCUUGUUACUCAAAAAGCAAAAUCUUUUCAAGAUUCCCCGUCACAUCAAAUCUUACGCCACAUACAUAGAGUAUUAAAUAUAGAUGAAAAUAAAAACUAAUUGCACAGUUUACCUGUAAAUCACGAGAUACAUUUUUUAAGUCUAGUUACUCUAUGAUUGGAUAAUAUUUGUCAAAUAAAAACGAAAGUGCUAACGUUCCGAAAACUUUUCACGUAUCGGACUAAGGCCCUGUUUAGUUCCCUACCCAAAAAUUUUUCAUCCAUCCCAUCGAAUCUUUGGACACAUGCAUGGAACAUUAAAUGUAGAUAAAAAAUAAACUAAUUACACAGUUUAGUUAAGAAUCGCGAGACGAAUCUUUUAAGCCUAGUUACUCCAUGAUUAGCCUUAAGUGCUACAGUAACCCACAUAUGCUAAUGACAGAUUAAUUAUGCUUAAUAAAUUUGUCUUGCAGUUUUCUGACGAACUAUAUAAUUUGUUUUUUUAUUAGUUUCUAAAAACUCCUCCCGACAUUCUUCCGACACAUUCGAUGUGACACCUAAAAAAAUUUUCAUUCCUAAUCUAAACAGGCCCUAAACAAGAUCGAGAGGCAUGGUACAAGUCGUUCGUUCGUACCAUAUAUCAUAUAUGGCAGCAGACAGGAGCAGGAGGAGAGGACGUGGCCUGAUGCAUGGCUGUUGGCUGUUGCAGGCUGCUGCCAUUUUCAUUUACCUGUACGAAAAUAUUCCCCUGGUCUCUCAGUCGUUCACACGUCACAUUUUUCUAUUUCUACCUGGCCUUCUCGCUCACAUAGCUGCUAUGUCACGUGCAUGCGUGCCUCCUCAUCACUCAUCAAUCAUCACCGACCCUCUCUUCUCACAAUCACGUGUCCCAAACUAAGUGACGUCUUUAACUUUUACAUAUCAUGUUUGACCAUCUAUCUUAAAGGGUGUUUGAUUUUCAAACUUAACAUAUCAAAUGUUUGGUCAUAUGUAUUAAGUAUUAAGUUAGAUUUACGAAACUAAAAAUAUAGCUAGAGACUAGACGUUUUUUUAAGCCUAAUUAGUCCAUAAUUAGACACUAAUUGCUACAAUAACACAUAUGUUAACGAUGGAUUAAUUAUGCUUAAUAAAAAUUUUUUGUGGGUACUGACGAAAUCUGUAAUUUAUUUUUUUAUUAGUAUCCGAAUAUCCCAUAAGCUAGCUCAUGUGACAUUUGACGUGACACAUGUUAAACUCUAGUCCCUACAACCAAACACGCCCUUAUUUAUUUUUUAGAUUACAAAAUAAACAAAUCAUUAUUAAGUAUCUCUACUGAUAAAAUAAGUCAUCUACUGAUAAAGUAAGUCAUAACAAAAUAGAUAAUAUUUAUAUAAAAACUUUAAAUAAGAUGAAUGGUCGAACAAGAUAUCUAAAAAAUAAAAAUGUCACUUGUUUUGGAAUGGGAAAAAAUCAUUCUAACUCUAAACCUAGACAAAUAAUUAACAUUUUGUUGGGCAUGCACAAAAAUACAAGAUGUAAACUGAUUUUGGCCUUUUGCUAGCGUGCCAACUAAUCUUAGCAAUAACAUGCAAGCAUAUUCCUCAAUUAUUUAGAACUUUGUUUAUUUUGUAUACCCCUAAACUUAAGCUCAUGUGGCCAGCAAACACCACACCUUAUAUAAUCUAUCUCCCAACUACACCUCCACAACUUAUUUCAACUUUGCUUUGCACACAUCUAAUAAUAAACCAGCUUAUAUAUCUAGGGUGCCAACAAACACCUAGCCCAACUUAUAUAAUCUAACUUAUAGCCAUGAAUCCAGUCACAAGUCUAAUUAUGUAAUCUAGCACCUAUAAGGUGACUAUAUAAUCUGGCCAGGGUAACAAACAAGGACUCACAAUGUACUUUUUAAGUAUUUUCUAAUUUUCUGUAUCUCACAUAAUAUACUUUAAGACAUAUUUUCUCAUCAUCAAGUGAUUGAUAUUUUGCAAACCCAUUGGCCUCAUUUUUCAAAUGUUAUUGUUAGAAAAAAAUGUUCCUAUCAACAAAAGUAAUGUACCACUCAAGAAAGAAAUUGUUCACUAAUCUGAAUAGCGUGAAUGUUCACUAAAGAAAAAUAAAUAUUGAACUACCAGCUUCAUGAGAAAAUGCUCAGAGGAUAAAAUAUAAAUUAGUGAAACUGCAAAGUGAGCAUAGCUUAGCUAGUUGGAUUCUUUGAUUCAUGUCCUUGACCUAAUGCGGGUGCUCGUAAUUUUUUAAAAAUUUAACAAUUUUUUCUUUUAGUGGUAAGUGAUGUAUCCGUCGGCGCUCAAAUAGGUAAGGUGUGUGUGCAUGUUUAUAGGAGUGAGUAUACAUACAUGUAUGAAUACCUGUGUCUGCAUCUGUGUUUGUACUAUGAUUUGUAAAAAAAGAAAUUGGUGAAAGAAAUCUAAAGUAUUGGAUUAGUUUUGCUAUGAUUCUAUUAGAUCAUUUUUACUUCGAAUCUAGAUAAAAACGACAAUCAUCUCUUUAGGGUGAACAGAUCAAUGUUUUCUAGAUUCAUAGCAAAAACCUAAUAUUUAUAUGUCACCAUACCUAUGUGUACUGGUCAUGCCCUACCAUGUCUCCUAGGCUCCUAGCCUACAGGAGACAGAAAGGAGACAUGACAUGUGAAUCUAAUGAGCCGCACUAAUCUAAAGAUGCACGGAUCAAACCAGCUAAUAAUAUAUAUGACACACACACAUAUAUGAAUGCAACUAAGUUUGUCGAGCAUGCAUGCAUGCAUGGCGACAAUGAGAGAUGGUCGUGAGAUAGAUGUUUGUAGUACAUGUAAAGUUUUAUGCGAUCGAUGAUGGAUGAGAGAGAGUAGCUAUAGGUAGCAACAAGAGGAAGCUAUCUACUUCAGCAUGUGUCUAUUUAUGUGUAGGGGUAGCUAGGCCGUACGUGCUGGUUGGAUCGGUCGGGAGUAGCAAGCAAGCAACCAAUGCAAGCUCUGAUCGAUGAUGCAUGCAUGCAUUGGAAUUGGGAUUGGAUAUAUGUAGCCACCGACUUUGGCCGGCCGGCACGCCAUGUGGGUGCACCUGUUGAUCACUAUAUAUAUAUAUAUAUAUAUAUAUAUAUAUAUAUAUAUAUAUAUAUAUAUAUAUAUAUAUAUAUAUAUAUAUAUAUAUAUAUAUAUAUAUAUAUAUAUAUAUAUAUAUAUAUAUAUAUAUAUAUAUAUAUAUAUAUAUAUAUAUAUAUAUGUUAGACUAUCUCCAACAAUCGUCACCCAAAAUACAAGACCCAUUUAUUUUUUGGGUAGCGCUACAAGUAAAAGGUUCUAUACCUAUUUUUAGUCUUCUCCAACAACAAGACCUAAAAGACAACACUCUCUGCAAAUGGGUCUCGAGGAGAGAGGAUACCCAAAUUUGGGUUAUGCCUCUCCUGAUACCAAAAAUAAGUCUUCUGUAUGGGUACUCUGUUGGAGGCUAUAGGUAUUGUGUUGGAGACCCAUUUUAGGUUUGGUUCCCAAAUGGGUCUCCCUGUUGGAGAUAGCCUUAAUUAAGCUGAAUAAUAUAUUAUAACACUAUGUAAGUGGACAGUGGUCCUUGUCGGACACUUCAUAACAGCUACAUAGAGCAUAGGUGUCUUGUCCUUCACUGCGGCAUGUAGCAGCUAAUAAAAAGAUAGAUGAAGACAAAUAUACGUUCUCCUUUUUAGAUUAUAUAAGUUGUUAUAACUUUUCUAGAUAUAUAGAUUUUAUUAUAGGUACAUAACUUUUACUUAUAUAUUUAGAAAGUUAGAAUAUAUAUAUAUAUAUAUAUAGUUUCUAACAUGAAACGAAGGAAUAACUUAUUAGCUAGCCGACGCUACUAUUUCACGAACGCUCAGCGGAAAGGAAAGCAGCGGUCAAUUUCCGACAGCUAUUUUUUUUCUUUUUUGGAAAGUACAUAUGUUAUUUUUUAUUUUUUACAGAAUAAGAAUCGUUUCUCUUUAUUUUUUAAGACAUUCGAUUCUUUUUUCACUUUCUUUUGCUAGAUCACCCGUCCUUUAAUAUUUUUUUAUUUUUUUAAGAAGCAUGUGCUCAUAACUUAUAAAACAGAAUUAAAAAGCAUAACGUUCACGAUAAACUUAACAGUACUAACUUAGCAGUGCUUCUAGACAACAUAAGUUCGAGAAAUAACUAAACACUGCUAACUUAGUCGUUCUCAAAAAAGUUGUACUAUAUAACUUAUGUACAUAAGUUUACUCCCACUAUUUCAAAUUAUAAGGCAUAUUGACUUUUCUAAAUUGAAUUUACUAUGUAUCUAGACACAACUAUAUAUGUAUAUACAUAACAAAAUCAAUAUAUGUAGAAAUAUCAAAACAUUUUAUAAUUUGGAAUAGAGGGAGACAUAAUUUACACAAUACAACUUAUGUACAUAAGUUACACAACUAAUACGCUAGUGUAUAUAGAAAGUUACAUAGUUAUUAUACACAAACAGAAGUUAUACAAUACAACUUAGCAUAAUAGGUUAGCAGCAUAACUUAGCAGAAUAAGUUAGUAAUAUAACUUAUAUGUUAUAAGUUAAUAUAAAUAAAUUGCUACUAGAAAAAUAAAAAUCUUCGAAACAUACAGAAGUGGGGUCUAGUUUUGUUCGCCUCGUCACGUUGAACACACCGGUGUAGACAGAAUUAAAAAUAGAUACAUCAUUUAAAAGUUAUAGUAAUUUGAAAUAAAUGUUUUGCUUUUUUUCAUGAUGACGUCAAAAGCAGAAAGAGAAGUGGGAGGAGGGGGAAGGAGGGUGGGCGACCAGUAUGUAUCAGGUGUCAGAUCGUUCGCUGGAUAUCGUUCGCUAGAUUGAAAACUACUGAACGACCGUGAGAGUUCGCUGGAUUGAAAACUAGUGAACGACGAAUUGUGUUAGCCAGCGACGUUCUUCUUUCCAUGCAUUCCCGCUACCUGAAUCUCAAUGCUACAUAUAUAAGCAUGCAUACGUAUACAAAUAUUUUAACAUUUUUGGGUACCCAAAUGCUGUACUCCCUAUGCCCCAUAAGAGAUGGUGUUUUAAUUCUGGGCAAACAGGAAUGAAAAAGGUGUAGUACAUAGGAACCGAGAAGGAGAGAGAUAAAGAUUAAGAUGCAUUGGAAAAAGAGAAAUAUAUUGAGAAGUGAGAAUUACAACUAAUUGUAGACAAAGUCGCUGUUUGCCCAACCAUUAUGUACCUAUCUAUGGGCUUGUUCGCUUGAGCUGUGUGAUCGUCCAUCCAAACUAUAGUAGCUAGCAAUUCAAAAACUGUAGCCGCAGCCAGCUUCACUGCAGCUAACAGGGCUUGGCAUUGUGAAAAAGGGUCGUAGCCAUAUGUUGCCAGCCGGUGCAUGCUGCCCGCCUAAGCUACAAUGGAUGUUGACGGCCGGUGGCAUGAAUACAGCACUACUAAAAAAAAUUUACAAGGCGUUUUAAAAAUGGGCUCCAAGCUGGUUGGGUCGGCUGCCCGCCUCGCUUAUUCAUGACAGGACAUCCGCCCCACUAAUCGCCUCGGUUAAUGAGAAAUAUAUUCUAAUGCAAUCACCUUGGUAAACCAUUAAUCGAGGCGAGCAACUUAACCUAACCAUCUCGGUUAAUGAAUAUUAACUGAGGCGGGUAUUAUAAUGCAACUGCUUUAGUAAAUUAGAUCUAGCAUGCUAGCCUACACCAACCCACUACCAUAUCCAUUAUAUAAACGAAACUAGAAACCCUAAACACUCCACUCUCCCUUCCUUUCUCUCCCUCGCCACGUAGUUCCAGCACCCUUCUCUCUCUGCGGUACGCUCAACACCGUGCCCUUCCCUCUUCCCUUCCCUGGCGACCUCCCUCUCCCUCCAAGAUGAGCCUGAGCAAUGCCCUUCCUCCGUCCUUGCGAUCUCUCUCUCUCUCUCUCUCUCUCUCUCUCUCUCUCUCGACGCGCUCUAGAACUGAGCAGACAACGGCAGUGGCGACACCACCCCCCCCACCCUCUCCCUCAGAUCCGAUGAGCAGCUAGCAAACGGUGGCUCCAUCUCCCUUAAUUAGAUCCAACGAGCCAGGUGCCUCCCUCCUCCACCCUCUCCCUUAGAUGUGAUGAGCCCAAGGCCCUUCAGGAGGCACCUACUACAGGAGUGGCCGGUGCUCGCAGCCUCUCUCCUUCGCUGGUGCUCAGAUCCACAAUGGCAGUGGGCAGAUCCAACAGUCGUGGCCCAGAUCCGGCCCCUCCUCUUGGAUCCAGUCUUCUCCGUGUGCGGCGUUGACUUCGCUAGUGGAGGUGCGACCCCGAGCAGUGGCCGCUUCACGUGAAUCCACGUGGAUCUAGUGUGGCCCCUACAGCAAAAUUGCAGUGGCGGAUCUAAUGAUGAUGGCGAUGGCCCCUGAUCCGGCAAGUGAAGGCGGUGGCAGCCUGUGGAUGGGCUCAGUGGCCCCGUGGGUGAGGUUGCUGGGCUUUGUCCACAGGUUUUUCCUUUUUUUUAUUUGAUUUACCGAGGUGGAUAUUUUAACCACCUCGACAAAGAUUGAUUUAUCGUGACUUUUCAUUUGAGGCGUUUGUAAUGCCCAUCUCGGUAAAUAAAAAAACACCUCAGUUAAUUUUAUGUAGUAGUGCAUGCAUGUGCAGUUGUACGGACACCACCAAGGCUCUCUAUGGGUAAGGCCUUGUUUAGUUCACUCAAAAACCAAAAACUUUUUCAAGAUUCGUCGUCACAUCAAAUCUUGCGGCGCAUGCAUGAAGCACUAAAUAUAGACGAAAAUAAUCACGAGAUGAAUCUUUUGAGUGUCUAGUUAGUUUAUGAUUAGACAAUAAUUAUCAAAUAAAAACGAAAAUACUACAGUACCGAAAUCUAAAAAAUUUUCGAAACUAAACAAAGCCUCAGUCAAUGAUAUAAAUAUACUAAUUAUACAGUUUAAUUGUAAUUUAUGAUAUAAAUCUUUUGAUACUAAUUAAUUUAUAAUUAAAUAAUAAUUAUUAAAUACAAACAGAAAUGUUAACAUAUCAAAAUCCUAGAUGUAAACCAGGCCUAAUGAGAGCUGCUAGGAGGAACGAGGAACAGGAGCUGGAUGGGUAGCCCUGGCCCCCUGACGACACAGAGACAAGAUGGGAUGGCCGAUGGGGCCAGCCCACCGUGGACCGGGACGGGGCCCACAGAUGCAUGCACGGUGGCCGUUGGGCUAUCCAUCCCGUUCCCGUGGGUAGGCCGUACGUCGCUCUCGCGCGCGUGCCUCGGAAUGACAGCAACAGCAAACCUCCUUUUCUCUCUGUCUCUGGUUUUGCAAUUUCAGCCCAAGGCCCAAGCAAGGGCAGACGUAACAUAAGUAAUCUCCAUUUCAUCACUAAAAAAAAGCCCAGAAAGCCCAGACCCAACAUUUAUUUGGCACCAUAAGUAAGCCUAGAAGAAAUAAUAAUAGUAAUUGCAAACAUAUUUUAGGAUUGUACCGCCCAUGAAGAAGAUUUAAAAGGCUAGUUAACUUUAAGCUAUUCUUCUAUCCUAUUUUUUCGUGAAUAUAUAUAUACUAGAUUUUAUUAAGGAGAACCCAAACAACUAGAGAAUUGGAAAAGAUUCAACAGCUCUUCUUUUGUGGAUGGAGAGAUAGACGUGUAGCACUCUUAUACUCUUAUAAGUAUUGGGAAGGUCUAGCAGCAUGUACUGAUCACCUCUAGCUAGUAAUAUAAAGCCACUGUAUCUCUUCUUGGCAAACUUUACAUGGAUGGGAUUGGGAAGGUUCGUUGCUUCACUUCGUUCCAGGAUUUUUAUCAUAUACUACAACAGAUUGAAAAGGAGCUUGCGUCUUCCAAUGCUAGAGGUCCAAAUAAAGGCAAGGAUCUGAAUAAUUUUAUCACUUAGCUUUGGUCCAUGAUGGCAUGCACGCCAUGCCGUACAAUGAGCAAUAGAUGGAUACGAAGCUGACGCCCAUUAGUCACUGCUCACAAUGUAAGUGUUGCUGAUUACAAUGCGCACUAGCAUUACGGUUGUUUAUUAGCCGUUAAAGGCCUCUCUUUUCGUAAGAUGCUCUGUCAGUGACAAGAGCAGAUCCACUACCAAUAUCUAGUACGCAUAACCUCUUUUCCCCAAAGAAAAUCAAGUAGUGACAAUGCCAAUGCAUGCAAAAGACAAAAAGCUUUUGUUAUGUUAUGUUAACUAAAGGCCUAAUAAUAUACACAAGCUGCUUUACAACAAUCAUCAGUAUGGAGGGUAAGCAGUAAGCACUUUGGUGGCUAGGGCAUGGCCACACAAGCCUGGGCACCUCCUUUUUAUCUUUGCUUUGCUUUUCCAUUCCUUGAAUGUGCUCCGAUCCUCUUUUUUUUUUCUUCUUCAGAGUGGUACCUCCCUUCUUGUAGCUAAGGUGGAGAAGAUAUUGGUGUUGGAACACAAUCUCCAGAACAUGGCACGAAUUCUGCUUCAGGAUCUUGUCUGAAUUCUGAAUCUAACCACUGAAAGUGACCAUUGUUGCCAGAUGCACGUAUAUAUGCUGGUGCAAGUGGAUAUUAACUUGCAUGCGCAGUUACUAGCUAGUACCACUGAAACUGAAAAUGACCAUUGAGCAGGUGCUCACUACACAAUGUCUACUAGCUCUUGUCGUCAGCGAGAUGAAGAGCCCCCAGUCCAUCCAGGUCAUGCUGGCCACUUGUUGCAGCCAAGUGCAGAGGCACAAUAUAUGGCAUGUGUUGCGCUUGCGCACCGCUCUGUCCAUUCCUUUGUUGCCAGUGAUACUAAUACUGAUGCACCACCAGUGAAACAGGAGUGAGGUAAGUACUAUAUCCAUGUUAUGCACAGGUGAUCUGAUCACAAUGGUGGAUGAGGCACAGAGCUUUCAAACAUGCAUGGAUAUACGAGGUGAUCACCCCACUAAUUCUCCUGCUUUCCCUUUGGAUUGGGCAGCGGCGCCUUUCUUUCGCUACGGAGUAGUACUGCACGCUCAUCACUGAUGCGAAAGGCGUGGAGCUUGUAGGACAGGCAGGACUUUCCAACGCUCACCAAAGUGUGCAAGCAAUUGGGUUGGGCCUGCCUGCUGCUAGCUGCUUGCAUAACCUUCAUUUCAGUCAGUAGUGCUGAAUGUUCCCUACUUUUUGUUAAUUACCUCCACUCUCAAAUUCAGGACAAAAUUGAGAAGACAUUUGUGGGGUUAAAAUAACUUUUCAUGGUGCUCAAGAGCUAGCAGAGAAUUAUAUCAGGAUGGACUGUUCCAGGAUUCUUCACUUUCAUAUUAUCUUAUUCAUUUACACGACUGAUUUGCAUUGAUUCUGGAUGUCUCAUAUGUGUCCUUACCAGCUGAACAUACACACACACACACACACACACACACACACACACACACACACACACACACACACACACACACACACACACACACACACACACACACACACAUUUAUAUGUUUUUCAAGUCAUCGAUCCGCAUUGGAGAGCCUUUAUCGCCUUUUGUUUGUGGGUAAAGGGUAACUAGGCAUAUGCUGUCACAUCUCUUCUUUUUUUUUAUCAGGCGCACUACGAACGAAGUAAAAGACCUAUAAAUAGUCCAUUGCAGGAGCAUUGUUGUGGCAAAAUUCAGGUGAGGUGGUGAAGCCGGUGGCCAAACGGUUACACAGCACACUCAAAGCAGCAAUGUUGGGGAUGGCACGCAUCAACGAGUGGAAGCCGGUGAUCGCGAUGCUAGUCUUCGACCUCAUCUCCGCCGUGACAACAGCCCUGAUCAAGAAGGCGCUGCAGGAAGGGCUCGACCGCCUGGUGCUCAUCACGCUGCGGCAGCUUGUGGCCACGGUCUUCCUCGCUCCAAUUGCCUACUUCAGAGAGCGGUACAUGCAUGUGACAUUUUUUCAGAGAACUGAAUGACCAAAGUUCAGAUUCAGAACCAACCUCGCUACUGCAAAGCUUAUGAUGUUGUAAACUUGUAAUGUGAUGCUAAUGCUGGUGCAUUGCCAUGCCUCUUUUUUGUCCUUUCAUGCAGGAACACAAGGCCUAAGCUCACACUAGAGAUCCUAGUCUACCUCUUCUUCAGUGCAGCAUUUGGGUACGUACAGUCACAGAUUCUAGUCAGUCUUUUUUUUUUCUUUAUGAUGAGGAUUCAUAGCAUUUCUGUCUGAUUCACUAUUCCUUUUUUGCUGCUCCUGUCCUGUGAUCCUGUCCAGCGCCGCACUCUCUCAGUACACCUUCUUCUACGGGCUUCAGUACACGACCGCAACGUUCGCCAUAACUUUCACCAACGUGGCUCCUGUGCUCACUUUCCUCAUUGCAGUCUUGCUAAGGUGCUCUUUCCAGCAUCUUUCAGUCUCCUGAACCUGCUCAUCUGAUGAAACUGAAACUCUGAAACUGCUGAAACUCUGAAACUGAAAGUCUGAAACCGGCCCUUUCGUUCCUUCCAUUCAGGGUGGAGUCACUGAACAUGAAGAACAAGGCAGGAGCAGCGAAGAUCGUCGGAACGCUCACGUCGUUCGCCGGCGUCAUGCUCCUGACCCUCUACAAGGGCGUCUCCCUGACGCACCUAGCUGACGAACCUAGCCCGGAUCACCACGGAGCAGCACCAGGGUCGUCGUCUGACAGGAAGAGCUGGACGCUGGGCACUCUGGCAUUGCUCGCCAACUGCCUGUGCUUCUCCUUCUGGCUUCUCCUGCAGUCCAGGCUGACCAAGAAAUACCCGGCGCUCUACUCCAGCACGGCCUACAUGUUCCUCAUCAGCUCGCUGCAGGGCGGGGCCCUCACGGCGGCCAUCCAGAGGCGAGCUUCGGUGUGGGUUCUGACAAGGCCGCUGGAGAUCGUUACGGUCUUAUAUACAGUAAGUAAGCUGAUGACGACCUUAUUUUCCUUAUCGCCACUUUCCGUUGUUAUAUCGUCUUUACGACUCUCUCUACCUCGAUGCAAAGACGCAUAAACUUUUUACGUGUUGAGGAAAAAUAUCAUCUUUUCGCCUACUUCUGUUUUUUUUUUUUUUUGGUAUAUAUUAAAAUCUAAAAAGCCCUCCAAUCCCUGCUUGGCUAAGUGAAGCCAUUGUCGGCACGGUAGUAAUAACAGUACAUUUGAUAAGUUGUACAUAGCCUUUUCAGAUAAAAGUACGUAGUAUUAAGAUGGAUGCCACAUUUUUUGACAUAGAUCAGGAAGAAUCUAUCCUAAAACCCCAUGUAGCUUUGACUUAGGAAAGUUAGUAAUAAAAUAACUUAGCCAUUAGCGCACAACUCCUUAUUACUUUUUUUUCAUCUUUAUCUUUAAAUAAUCUAGUAUUGAAGUAUCUAUGGAGAGUUUAUUCUUUUAUCCUCUCAAAAUCAUGACAAGUGGGUCUAGGCUUAUGAAUCUACCCUAUGUGCAACCACAUAUAAGAUAGGGCGGAUGCAGCGGUGGGGCGACGCCAUGCGGUGGGGGUGGGGUGGGGCUCUAGAUCCCUACUGCCAUCAAACCUAUGGAGCCCCCUUAGCCCCUCCUAGAAAUUUUUGUCAUGGAUACACCUUGAGGAUCGGUGAAGCAAUGUUAUAGUCAAGGGACGCCACCGUCAGGAGGAGGAGGUGUUGCAAGGGGACAAUCUAGUCAAGUUUAUCCUUGAACUUGUAGUUUUUCCCCGAUUACGUUGCCCUUAUUAUGUUUGUAGUAGCCCAUAGUUGAAUCCUACCUGGCUUGACAGGCAUCGCUUGUCUUAGUGAUUUCCUUGAGCAUGUGAAGAGCCUUGGGAUGGGAAGAGAACACAAGCUUAAGUUAAUUCCAAAACUGAAGCCUCACACUUAAGACGGAUACCUCAAGGCAAGAAGGGGCUAAAAGAAAGGAUAGGAAGGGGCUUAACAUAGAAGUUUCCUCCCAUACUGCCCUCCCUCAAAUGGAAGUAGCCCCCACGGACUUGGCCUCCUUACAGGUCCAAAGAAGGAUAUCAAGAAGAGUAGUUGUAGCAUUUGACGUCCACUGGAAGUGCGGUUGCUUCUUAGACCACUUCUUGGCAGCGACAAUGAUAGAAGAGGUGGCAGAGUUGAUGACGACAAGAGCGGCAACACCGAGAGCCACAAUAGCAAGGGGGGUAGCGGUGGAGGAAGCUAGGGUCACGAAGGCCUCAACUGAAGUGGAGGUGGUGAUGACGACGAGAGUGGUGGCGCCGAGAGCCACAACAACGAGGAGGAUUGUGGUGGAGGCUUCCACGAAGGCGGAGGUGGCCAUGGUGCAAUUUUUCACUCUUCAGUAACCAAGAGCGGAUCUAGCGGUGGGGCGAGGAGGGCUCAAUCCCCUCUGCUGCCACCAAACCCAUGGACCCUCCUUAGCCCCUCCGAGGAAUUCUUGCCAUGUAUGCACCUUGAGGAGAGACUGAAGUUGUCAGAGGUUAAAAUGAUAUGUAAUUCAUGAUUUUGGGCUGGCAGAGUGGGUUAAGUUUUUUAUGGGCUUCAAUGAAGUGAAAAGACCCGUUGGUAACCCACCUUUCUACCUUCUUCGUGCUCCUCAUUCUCUCAAUUCCUUGGUUGUCAGUUGUGAGCUAUGGUAGGUGGGGGAUGUGGCAUGAGAGCAACCAGAGUGCUACCAGAAAGUGUAGAUGCGCAAGGGAGACAGAGAGGAUGGGUGGAUGCACAAGGGGUAGGCGCAGGCACGACUCUCAGCGGCUGAACAUGUCCAAUGGGAUGAUCGGGAACGAGUGCACGACAAGGAGGCAGAGUUUUUUUUGACAGAAUACAAGGAGGCAGAGUAGAAAACCUUGUGAAAACUUGCUUUUGUAUUGCCAAAAGAAUAGCUUCAUGCCUUCUCACCAUAGUAUGAACUUGAUUUCUUGAGCCCUACAAGAUAUUUGUCCUGGAUCCGCCAUUGUUAUAAAAGUCGGAUUCCCCAUCCAUACAUGAAUUAUACCUAACAUUAAAGAGCGGACUUGAUCCCUGCAACCUCUAUGUAAGGGGGGACGAUCGGUGGAAACGGAUGCAUGCAAACAGACGUCAAUAACACAAGAUCUCCAUGAACCUUAUAUGAUUGUUGUCAUGAACGCCUCACCACUCGUUGGAUUGAUUUGUGUCUUAUCUGCUGGCUCUCUCAAUUUGACGCAGUCCAUAUGCAUUCAACAAAGACUAUUGCCAGCGCGCGCGAUUUAAUCCCAUCCCAUCCUUCUUCUUUUUCAUCUAACGCGAUCCGAUGUAGCUAGCUAGAUUAUCAAAGCACACAUGCAUGAGCUUGGGUGGCCCUUCUAAUCUGCCUCUCACGUGAAUACAAAUGUUCAGUACUAUACUUGAUAAGUAAAUCCAGACGGGAGAGUACACACCACACAAACGACACAACAAUUUUUGUGCAAAUGUUUCUUGUCUUAGAAAAAGGAUCACAAGCUGAUGAAUAAUUCUCAUUCAUGUAUCUGUUCGCACAACUUAAAUCAAAUCAAAAUUUAUAUUUCAAGCACACACAUAUAUAUAUCAUGUUUAUGUUUCAGGGAGUCAUGGGGUCCGGAGUGGGCUACGUGUUGAUGACGUGGUGCGUGGAGAAGAGAGGGCCGGUGUUCACGUCAGCCUUCAUCCCUGUCAUCCAGAUCAUGGUUGCCAUGAUCGAUUUCUUCUUUCUCCAUGAGAAUCUCUAUCUUGGAAGGUAAUUAAGCUAUCUGCUAGCUUUAUUAUUGUCCUCAUCAACAUCGCAUCGAUCAUCAGCUGAAGAAUUGAAAGCUGUUGGCUAGCAAAAUGCAUGAGCAGGCCAUAAGAAAAAAAUAAAUAAAAACAGGAGUAUCCAUACUAUAUAGCUAGCUCUGCAGACGCCUACAUAUAUAGUACAUCACGUUGAGGUGAUGGCAUGCAGCUAGCUGGGUUUUUGGAACUGCAAUGGAUGGACGAAAUUGCAUCACUUUUGUGUUUUGUUGUUAUCCAUGCGUGCAGUGUUCUGGGAUCCAUACUCUUGAUUCUGGGCCUCUAUAUUCUGCUGUGGGGAAAGAAGAGGGAUGCCUCAGAAGCAUCAUCAUCAGCUGCUGACAAGGAAGAGGAGGAGGAGGAGGAGGACAAAGAGAAGCAAGUCAGAUCAUGAAGACCAGCAGACCACUCUUAUCUUUUUUUUUUCCAAAACAAACAAAUUAAACCAGAGGAUGAGGAGGACCAAAAGAUACAGUUCUUUGGACUGUGAUGGAUACUUGACAUAUAUACUUAAUAUAAUAAUUUCCUUCUUUCAUGAUUUACUAUUACAGUACUCCUCUAGAUGGAACUAGUACUAAUGUACUAAGAAGAAUGGUCUAAUAAUUCUGCUAGUAUAUACAGUAUUUUAAUUUCCUUUGAGGCCAAAUUGGUAUAUAUAUAUAAGCAUCUGUGUUGUUUCCUGUCUAAAAAGAAACAUUAGUAUUUCAUUUCCCCAUAAAAAUAAAGAUAGCACUACUUGUAUUCUAGCAUCUGUUUUUGCUUACUCUAAUUAAUAUCCUAGUUUUCUUAGUGUGCCCAAGCUCAACCAUGCAUGGAAAAAGUUACCAUGCAUGCAAUUAAUCUCUCCAAAGUUCAGUCCUAUCUAGGAUCUUAGAGAAGGGGGCCGGUGGAAGAUUGUCACCCAUAAUUCGACACGUUAGAAGUUUUUUUCUGUCACAUUGAACACGGAACUGCAUUGGGUGCGUGGGAGGAAGAAAAGGAGAGAAAUGUUCUUCAUACACACAUGGCGGUUGUCUUGUACCCCAAAUUCGCCAUUCUCCUAUGAGGGCGGCUUAGCGAGCGAGAAUAGAUGCUCCGGAUUUGAUGUGGACCUAAAGCAACGUAUUGCCAAUGAAAGCAGAGACAGUGGGCAUUGGAUUUUAGUCCUUUCUCAUGGAAAAAGAUACAUGCAUACUGGUGCAUGUUUUUUAUUUCCUAGCUACAUAUCGGUGCAUGUUCUUAAACAAGCCCUAAAUAGAGGUAGUCAUGACAAUAUGCCUGAUGAGUGUUGAAGCAGGCAGCAUCCAAUGCCCCUACAGUAGAAGCGAUUGACACAUCCUAUCACGGGUCAGGUCACAACAAUACCCUGCUUGCCAAAACUGAUAAAAAAGAUGAGGAGCUUUUAAAUGUUCGAUCCACUGCACUGCACUACCUAAAGAGCUGGGUAUUCUGUUCACUUGGCUGCACAAUUUGCUCACUGAUCAAACAUGCACAUCUUCCAGAUUGCAAAUAUAAUAUUCUCAGGUCAGCAAAGCAUGCAAAUAAUGUAAGCCAAUGGUUGCUAAGUGCUUUGUCCUAUACCCAAUGCAAAACCGUACCCUAUUAGUCACAACUCAAGCUAGAGCAUGAUCACGUGUUAGGAAAACGAUCGAAACGAGGUCGAUUGGGAACAUCCUUUCAGAUGCCAUUGCAAACAUCAUCAGCACCUCAGCAUGUAGCUAGCAGCACUAUAAAACCAUGACAUAACCAGAACAGACUGCUCAGGUCAUCACACAAAGCCAUCGUCAGAUCAAAGCUAUCUAGCUCAGGAUCGAGAACAGCUAUAGCUAGCUAGCUAGCUAGGGCUAUCUGAAGCUGGUUAGUUGUGCUGCUGCUUGAAUUGAAUCGAGAUGUGGAGUGCAGGAUGCAUGGAACAGUGGGCGCCGACGGCGGCAAUGGUGGCCACCAACGUCGUGAUCGCCGUCAUGAACGCGCUGAUCAAGCAGGCACUGAACCAGGGCAUGAACAGGCUGGUCCUCAUCACUUUCCGGCAGAUGCUGGCCACCCUGUUCCUUGGCCCCAUUGCCUACUUCAAGGAAAGGUAGGUGAUGCUGUACGUGCUUAAUUUUGUGGUGUCAAAAAGCCAUCCAAAGGGAAAAAUAUGAACAGUAGAUGGUCGUUUCAAGCAUUCAUGGGUAUAUAUUUCACUAUAUAUUAUAUUGUUGACGGCCAUUGUUUCUUUUUCUUUUCCCUUCAACCAGGAAGAUGAGACCAAAGUUCACUACCGAAAUCUUUGUCUACACGUUCCUCAGUGGAAUUCUUGGGUAAACACCAACUCCACUCUCUCUCACACACACUAUGCUAUUAAUGAUUCAGUUGGUUGUUCUUCAUUGUUCCUGGACUAAUUAUGUAAAUCGUUUCUUAAUUUCACUUGUUGCCGGCUGCAGGCCGGUGCUGCUUCAGUACACAUUGUUUGUCGGAUUGGAUUACACGACAGCAACAUUUGCUGCAACUUUCGGAAAUUUGCUUCCGGUGGUUACUUUUCUGAUAUCACUGGCUUUCAGGUAAAAACCCACCUUCUUUCAGCAGCAGCUUGAAAGGCUCCCCCUUUCUCUAUAUCUUUUGUUUUUGCAAAAUCUAUACCGUAAAUUUGCAUUAUAAAACUGGAUGGCACAAAAAAAUUGACUACAAAGUAGCAGACUGUGUCACUCGCAAAAAAAAACAAAAAAAAAGAGGUAGCAGAGUGUGCUAUCACUGCUACUAAGAAAAGAAGAAGAAAUUGAUAUAGUGCCAUCGCUGCUAUGGAACCUUAUACUUUCCAAAUCAACCAGUACAUCCUAAAUGAAGUGCCUAAAAAGGACACUUCAACUCUGUUCCCAUGAGAAAUUAAAGUUAGCUGGUUUUAAAAUGCGCCCCAGAUUAAGCACAUGCUACAACGACUAACGAUCCCCAGCAGAGCACAUUAGGUCAACUCAUCACCUGACCAUUUAAUAAUAUAUUAUAUAAGCUCACGAUAGUCAACUUCAUCUUUCAGAUUUGAAGCACUGGAGGUGAGGAGCAGGUCAGGGAGCGCCAAGAUCUCAGGGACACUCAUCUCCCUCGGCGGCGCAAUGAUGCUCACCUUCUACAAGGGUUCAGCACUGACCCACACCACCACAUCGCCGUCGCUGUCAUCCAUGGCUCCAUCCUCCUCCGGCAGCAGCGGCGAGCACGGCACGGUCCGGUGGGUGCUGGGCUCCGUCUCCAUGCUCGCCAACGUGGUCGGCUUCGCGCUGUGGCUGCUCCUGCAGCGGAAGUUCACCCGGAAGUACCCGACCGUGUACUCGGCGACGGCGUUCAUGUCGCUCUUCAGCUUCGUCCAGGCCGGAGCGCUCGCUCUGUCGAUCCAGAGGAGCAGCCUUGCCGUGUGGGCUCUCAGGGGCACCCUAGAGAUCGCCACGGUGGUCUACUGUGUAAGAUUUCUUGUCUUGCAGACUGCAGACACAUUUGUUACUGCUGUUGAUGUGCUACGUGCUUGGAUUUAGUAUUUGCUAAUUAAUCUCCAUAUAAACUAAUUGGGCAGCAUUGAUGAUGCAGAAUGCAUGUUUGUGCAUGCAGGGUAUAGUGGCAUCUGGCAUUGGGUACCUUCUGCUCACAUACUGCGUGGAGAAGAGAGGCCCUGUGUUCACUGCUGCCUUCAGCCCGCUCGCGCAGAUCUUCGUCGCCGGCAUCGAUCUCUCCAUUCUCCAUGAACCUCUCUACCUUGGAAGGUGAGAGGUCACAACGCAAUGCUGCUCAUCCCAUCGAUCUGCUACCUAACUGCAGCCUCAUUUUCACUGAAGACUGAACAUUGUGCCGUUCCUCACUGAACAUUCACCCUAGCUAACUGUUGCUCUGUUUUCACGUUGCAGCGUGCUAGGAUCAGUGCUGGUUAUUAUCGGACUCUACCUUGUGCUGUGGGGUAAGAAAGAGGAAGCUGCUGCUGCUGCUGCUUCGGCGAAGCCAGUUCAGGAGACCGAGGUAGAACAGCAAGAGAAAGUGUGAUUCUUUUUAUUACUCAUCACAGUGUGACAGAGCAGAGACCAUACAGUUAGAAGAAGCCUGUGUGAGUGUGACAGAGUGUAUAUGAUCUCCAAGCUCUUACUGCUGCUUGUAUUCUACUAGGUCAUCCAAAUAUAUCUCUUAAUGCUGUAAAUAAAAUUCUCUUAAGGCCCUGUUUAGUUUCCCACCCAAAAAUUUUUCAUCCAUCCCAUCGAAUCUUUGGACACAUGCAUGGAACAUUAAAUAUAGAUAAAAAAAUAAACUAAUUACACAGUUUAGUUGAGAAUCGCGAGACGAAUCUUUUAAGCCUAGUUACUCCAUGAUUAGCCUUAAGUGCUACAGUAACCCACAUAUGCUAAUGACAGAUUAAUUAUGCUUAAUAAAUUUGUCUUGCAGUUUCCUGACGAGCUAUGUAAUUUGUUUUUUUAUUAGUUUCUAAAAACCCCUCCCGACAUUCUUCCGACACAUCCGAUGUGACAUCCAAAAAAUUUUCAUUCCCAAUCUAAACAGGCCCUAAGUGUUGAGAAAGAGGCUGCCAAAGUUCAGGCUUCACUAUUUCAGAGCUAACGUACAGCACUAUCGACUGGUGGUACGGUUGGGCCACCAUCCACGUGUACGUCGCUGACAAGUGGGUCCAGAGAGCCUCAUGUCGCUCAAGAAUAGCAAAGCACUCUACUACUAGUAGCUGUUGAAUGGUUCUGCUAGCUCGCUCGGUCAGUAAAGGUCUCUGCAUCAGACACUUGUCUCUCCCGCUCCGACAACAACUCCUCGCCUCCCAGCUCUUAGCACACAUCUGGGCGAUAAAACACAUAGUUGCAUUCAUUCUACACCAGCAAGAUCAGAAACAGUGUGCGUGAAUCAUAUCCAGCACGAUCGGAUCGAAGAACGAAGCCAUCGUCGUCACAACGCACAAUGCAAGAACGCCGCCGCACCGCCGCCAUGGGUGGUGUCACCGUGACGACGCCGCUCUGCUACCUGGCAGUGGCCGCGGCCUCGGCCCUGCUUCUGCUGAGCACCGCCGUGGCGCCGUGCAGCGCGCAGGUGGUGGUGACCAUCGAGGAGGCGUGCCGGAUGGCGACGAGCGGCGGCGCGGGGAAAGUGAGCUACGACCACUGCGUGGCGUCGCUGGCGUCGGACGCGCGGAGCCGCGACGCCGCGGAUCUGCACCACCUGGCCGCGCUGGCCGCGCGGAUCGCGGUGGAGCACGCGGCGGCGACGGAGGCCAAGAUCGAGGACCUGGGCGAGGUGGAGGAGAGCCCCCACGCGCGCGCGCGCCUGCACCACUGCCUGGACCUCUACAACGCCGCCGCCGACGUCCUGCGCGACGCGCUCGACAACCUCCACGCCCGCGUCUACGGCAAGGCGUCCCAGCAGCUGGCCGCCGCGCUGGGCGCCGCCGAGAGCUGCGAGGACGUCUGGAAGGGCGAGGAGCACGUCCCCGUCGCCGCGCACGACAGGGAGUACGGCCGCAUGGCGUUGGUCGCGCUCGGCCUCACCAGCGGCAUCGCUUGAUCGCGCCUACUACGCUAAUGCUGUCGUCUCAUCGAUUCAUCAUCGCGUCGAUCGAUCGGUCCAUUACACUUGUCAGCCCGAACGCCAUUGACGACGCCAUGGCUGUCGUCAAGUCGUCAUCAUAAAAGCUAUAUAAAGUCGCAUCAUCUGUCUCCUUGGAAGUUGGAAAUAUAAUCCUGACAUGCAUGUAUGUAGAAAGGGCAUGCGUGCAUGUAUGUAGGGCGAUACAUAUACACUCCUAUCUGUUGUUGUUCGUUCUUUGGGUUUGUAGGACUUUGAACGGUUGCAUGGUGGUAAGUAUAUAAAUCACAUCUUGAAUGAACUACCACACAAGAUCUUGCAAGGGCUAAUUCCCCCCUCUAUUUCUGUUUAUCUUAUCAUUUCUAUUGUCAUAUGAUCUUUUUAUACUAUUACUAGCAUGGCUUGAGCAUCACUGUUGGUGUAGUAGAGAUGUGUUAUCUAUCUUGAUUUCGACCUCGUUUGACAAUAUAGUUAGUUUUAAACCAUGUCUUUGGUGUAGUUUAUUGGAUUAGCUUAGGCACUUUCUAAGCCUUACAUUAGUAAAGAUUAGUAAAUAACAAAGCCAUCCACACUUAUUCAUUGUGGAUUAAUUCAAUAUAAACAUGGGUUGGAAUUGAUACUUUGAGGGAAAAUCUACAACUUCACCAUACACUUGGGGUUCACGAGUUGCAUGCUUACAUAGCACCAACAAUGGGCUACAUGCCUACAUUUAGAGCAACUCCAGCAGUAGCCCCCCAAAACUAAGCCCCUAUUUUUAAUUUGGGUGCUCCCCCUACUUCUUGGGGCUCUACUUUUUUGCUUCAACUCCAACAGUAGCACCCAAAUUUGAGCCCCCAAACCUAUUCCAGAUAGAAUGACAGAAGGGACCCACUCGUCAGUGUCUUUUUCUUCUUCCUCUUUCUUCUUCCUUUGGACAUGGACACAACUAGAGCAUCGAGCCGGUUACCGUAGGGUGUCAUGCACAUGCAAGGGUAAAGAGAGAGGGAGCAUGCGCUGGGGCUAGAACACACAAUGGAGGAUGGGGGCUGCCCUGUUGGGCCAACAGGAAUGGGGUCUGGGGGAGAAAUAUGGGUGCCCAGCCAAAUAUGGGGUCUGGAGUAGGGGCCCUGCUGGAGUAAUGUUUUUAGCAUGGGCACCCAUAUUUAGCUAUUGGGGCUUGAGUAGGGGCCCUGCUGGAGUUGCUCUAACACCACUAAUAAGCCAAGUUAAAAUCUAGAGGUUAUAUCUCACCAGAUAUAACGAGGGAGAGGUCCGCAUCAACCGCGGACGUGUGCGGUGGCGAACGACCUUGCUUAUUAGGGGUCGUUCACCCUUGGCGGCGCAAGCAUUCUCGACGAUGUGGAACCUGUCGACACCGAGGCCUUGUUUAGAUCUAAAAAGUUUUUGGAUUUUAACAUUGUAGCACUUUCGUUUUUAUUUGAUAAACAUUGUCCAAUCAUGGAGUAAAUAGACUUAAAAGAUUUGUCUCGCGAUAUAUAAAUUAGUUUUUAUUUUCUUCUAUAUUUAAUGCUCCAUGCAUGUGCUGUAAGAUUCGAUGUGACGGGAAAUUUUAAAUUUUUUUUAAUUUUUGGAGUAUAAACAAGGCCCGAGGUGGGAACCCUCAGUCAGCUAUCUUCAUGUGUACUAACAUUCUCAUUUUGCAGCAAGGAUGGAGGGAGUAACUAAUAAAUUCAAUCCCUCCAGUUUCCUAAAAAAAAAGUUUUCUUCAUCAUUACACUACAGAGAUUCAGACACACAGACUUUAACCUUUACCGCGUUAACUUUACCUUUAUAUUACCAUCUACCAACAAAGAAUCUGUUUAUCGAUGAUGCGUGAAGUAGAGCACAACUAAAGCAUGCAAAAGGAAGCACGCAAGGAAUAAUAUUAGAGCAGCAAGUAAUGCACACAGCUAGCUGUUUGCGUGCCGCGUGCGAGAUUGCGGGAGUGCUGACAGAACCAUAUAUAUUUAGGGUUGUCGGUGGACUUCACAAACAUUAUACUGCUGACAUAUAUCGUUCAUCUUCGUUUCAUGAGCACCUGCUGAGAUUGAUCGAUUCAUCGUCUUCAUCUAACUUCAAGCAUGCAGCAUGGAAUGCAUUAAUAAGUUACUGCAGAGAGGUAGAUCAUGUACGUGUUCAGCUAUCUAGUCUAGCACUCUUAACUAUCUGGACUGUUCUUCUUGACGCCGUGAUCGAUCAAGGUAAUUAUAUAUUGAGCAAUAUUAUUGUAGCCUUCUUUCCACUCCAAAUACGAUUAAUUCGUCCGUGCAUUGACAUAGUUACAGUAUUAUUCUGUAUACUCCUUAUCAACUCUAGCAUUUAGGUGCUGUUUGGUUAGCAUUUAGUAAUUUGCCUGAGACUAGUGUGCUGGGGUUAGCAUUUAGUAGUUUGCCUAAUAAUGUACUCUAAUUUCCUCAAUCUACAUAUUUAUAUAUAUGCACAUGUACAGAUUGAUCUACUGGUGGAGCAGAAUCUGGAGCUUCAUCAUGGACGGGCUCAUGGCUCUGCUACAUGCAAAUGAUAUAUAGAUUUCUCAGAGAUGAAUCGAAGUCUGUAGUACGAGGCGGCAGAUCCAGAAAGCAUAUGAUCGAUCUCAUCAAAGGUGUUGAGCCCGGCCGUAGCUUGUAAAUUGCAAUCAAUUAAGCAGUCUAAGACAACUAGCAGGCGACAGAUCGAUCGACUCAUCAUGCCGUUGCAGGUAAACUAAAUUAUUCAUGCAUAUGCAGUACUUCUUCUUUUACAAAAAUGGUCGCUACAUAUACUCGAUCCCUCUAUAUUACUAAUAUUGUUUGCACAUUAAUUUGACGAUACGAUGUGCUAAUUAUAUUUGUCUCCGUUACUGUUUUUUCUAAUAAUCGUGCCUCACCCUCUCCUAUCCUAUAUUUCUCAAUCGACUGGAUUUGACUCUUCAAUCUUGCUCCCUUAAUUUCUCUUUGUCAUUACUGUUGUUUACGUACGUUGCAUUGCACAGUUUGGUUGUCCGAUCGGGCUUAAUUUUAUAAUAAAGGAUAGUAUAUAUUCAGCUUCAUUUAUCAAUAAGUAGAAUCAGAUCAAUUACUAAAAUGUUCUGCCCGUUAACACACAAGCUGCAAAUAAUUUCAUUUAUAGCCAAAUGGAAGGAAGGAUAGAACGAGAGUAAAGUUUUGACUAAACAAGACCAAUACGACUAAUGGAUAACCGCCCAUUAAAAGCAAAGAAGUGUAAGGCCGACAUCUCUAGAUGUUGACCAGCUUGUGUCGGCUGUUCUUGCAGGUCAUCAUGUCAUUGUAAUCGUGCUCAUUGCUAGAGCCAGUGUGUUCCCAUGAAAAGAACUUGCAAAAAAAAAUUUUGGUCUACAUUUAUAAAAAACCACCUAGUUUUUUAUUAUCCAAACUGCCCAACAAAGCAUCGAUGCUACUAUUAAUAACAAUGCAUUAUAUUUCUUACUAGCCAAUUUUGACCAUCUAUUAAAAAGAUCAUCAAUACUUCAAGGAGGCAAAAUUUUAAAAAGUAAAUGUACAACGCACCACAAAAAUUUGACAUAAAGACCAUUGAAAAAAGGUGUUGAACAGUUUCUGUACAAUGAUAGAAGCAACACUCCUGUCACCAUUCCAGUUACGCUUGGCUAGGUUGUUCUUGGUUAGAAUCACACCUUUUUUUAAGUACCACAAAAAUACUUGUAUUUUCAUAGGGACUUUUAUACCCCAAACAUCUUAUGAAACAAUUACCCCAUUGUUAAUUAACACAGCAUACAUGGAUUUAAUUGUAAAACUUCCGGAUGCCUGAAGAGCCCAAACGAAAACAUCCAUUUCCUCCUCUAAGUUCAAAUCGUGUAAAGAAGCUACAAUUUUAUGCCAAUCCUUUAGUUCGCACCCACAAAAUUUCGGCGAAAAGAAAUAUUUAGUGGAGAUAAACUAAGAACUUGUCUUUAAAGGUCUCUUUGAUGUUCAUCAAGCUUUUCCAUAAAUGCAAGUUUGUUGGUUUUUUACUACAGCUCCCUACAAUCUUAUCUUUGAUGUAUUUGUUCCUCAAAAGUUCUUGCCACAUGCCAUUUUCUUCAACAAUUUAAAUAACCAUUUACUUAACAAAUACUUGUUUUGUAAGUACAAAUUUUGUAUGCCCAAACCGCCCUAAAUUUUAGGUUGACAUAAAAUUUUCCAUUUGGCUAAUCUAUACUUCCUGUGUUGGUAGUUUUGCCAGUAGAAUCUUGAUCUUAAGCAAUCAUUUUUUUUCUAAUGAUAUCAGCGCAUAAAGUACUGUAUCAUAGAUUAAAUCUAAUUAACCAUUUCAAUAUUUGUAGCGUACUAGCUAGUAGUGAAAAUAUACUACGAGUGUUAUUAAUUAUUUUGACUCAAGUAUAAAUCUUUCUUUUUCUGAAUUCAUUGGCAAAGCAAGCAUUCCUCUUCUCUCUUCAAAGCAAGCACGUACACGUGAGCCCACAUUCUGUUGUUUAUUUUAUAUAGGAGUCUCUCUCUUUUAGAGUAACUCCACUAGAUUGAGUAUCAUGUUUCCCUAAAAAUUUUCUAUGGGGAAAACUGAAAAAGCAAUAUAGGAGUAUCUCCUUAGAGUAUCUCCAUCACAUUGAGUAUCCUAUUUCGCUUAAAAUUUCCUAUAAGGGAUUGAAAAAGCUGAGAAUUGCAAGUUAUAGGAGAGUACCGCUGCAAUGUGCGACCCAUGUAUCAAUGACAAAGAUAUCUCCCUUUCUCCUUCCCUUAAAAUUUCCUACAGGGGAUUGAAAAGCUAAAUUGAAAGUUAUAGGAGAGUACCCCAUGCAACAGUUGGAAGGGGCUCCAUGUUGCGGAGUGUGGCGCAUGCAUGGCACGAGGCAAAGCUGUGGAUGCCCGCUUGACACGCGGCGGUGGCUGCUCGCCUAGCCUGCACGGGUGUGUGGCAUGGCUAGGACUGGCCUGCACGGAUGCAUGAUGCGGCCGUGGCUACUGACCAGCCGGUCCAUUGCUCGAUGUUAGCUGCCAGCACCGACCUCUAUGCGCAGCACGGUGGUGGUGCCCAGAGCUAUGACGAUAGGACGAAUGUCGGUGAUGGGAACAAGAGAAAAGGGGAUUGAGAAAAACUAGAGUGGUGAUUGGUCCCCUUCAUUCCAUGAGGGAUUAAGGGAAGAUUUUGAAGGAUUGAGAAAAAAAUUAGAAAAAAGGGG